GAAUAUUUCAUGAACGCGGCUGCAGCUGUUAAACAGCACUAUGAAACCAAGUGUGUUGGCAGGAAUCUGAGAAGACAUUGGCACGGGUAAAACUAGUGAGAGAAGCAGCCCAGAGCAGAGGCAGCUCGGGGAGAGCCCCUGCAGGCCCCGCGGGAAGGCACCAGCCUUCAUCCCCUUCAGGUCUCUGAGAAGUGACUCACUGUCCCCCCUGUCCUCACUCCAGGCACAUUCCAGAGUGGAGUGUGGAGACAGGAGCUGAGCCAGGCAGGACAGGGGACAGCACUGGACACCGAGGACUUGCACCCUGGGACCAUAGUUCUAGAAGACGGGGUGCUCUGAGGCGUUGCUUCCCUGGACUUGAGGGGCCUAUAGGAAGAGGUGUUGAACUUGGGGUGCCCCAGGAGGCUGCCUGGGAGCCUCAGAUGUCUCAUCCAGGGGAGCUCAUGGCUGGGAAAGCACGGUGGGAGCAGUUUGCUGUGGGCCCUGGUGAGGGUGGGGCACACCGAGAGGCUCCCUGACCCCUGGUGCCCACAUGGCACCAGGCUGCUCCCAGGUCUUUCUCCUCCAUGCUUCCUGCUGGCCAUGGACGAGGACACGCAGAGGCCUUUGUUUAGCCUCCCCCUAAAGAACUGAAACAUUUUCCUGGUCUCCUCUUGUGUACCUCCCCUCUUCUGAAGCACCUGACUUCUGCAGAGGUAAUGAAGAGAGCAACCCAGCCACAGGCUGGGGACGUCACUGGGCCAGACGCUGGGCUCACUUAGCACUUGGCGUACUUAACUUCUUGUACAGUCUGAGGUAAGUACUGUUAUUACCCCAUUUCACAGCGGAGAACAUUAAGGGUUAGACAAAGUGAACUGUUCAAAGUCACAGCACUAAUGGAUGUCAGAGAGGAUUCGAAAUCUAAGUUUGGGGAAGGCAGAGCCCAUAUCCUUAAUCCACCUGGUUGGUUCCCAAUUCCCUGAUAGUCCCAAAAAGAGGUUUGGGGGAGGAGAACUUAGAGCAAAAACCAAAGAGCAAAGGCCUGGAAACCAGAGAAACCUGGGUCAUUUUGAAGCCUGGUAGUUAUGCUGAGCAUGUGGUGAACUGCGGAGAGCCUCCAUUUCCCCAGCUGCUACAAAAACUAAUUGAAGAAAAAAACUGUGAGUUGACAGUCCUGGUGCCUGGCAUACAAUACAUACUCAAUAAAUGCUAGAAUUCCUCUUUUCUCCAGGCUUCCCAGGGAAGCCCAGCCGGACAGGAUCCUUCUGCUCAGGAAGAGCUUCCUCAGAGAGACGGAGCAGAGGCUCCAAGCCUGAGCUAGGGGCCUACUGGACCUUCUCUCCCUGCACCUUGGCCUCUCGUUAUCUCUACUUAUCAGACAGUGCUAGCCCUCCACAACUGAGAACUCGGUGUGGCAGAAAACAUGUCUCCUCGGUUCACUGUGGGAUUCCAAUGAACCAGCAGAGAGCCCAGAGAGGACUCAAAAAAUGUCUGUGGGUAGACAGAUGGACUGAUGGGUGGUUUGGGGGAUGGAUGGAUGAGGGGGUGGGUGGGUGAGUGGAUGGAUCACUGGAUGCGUCGAUGUUCAGAUGGAGGAUCUUCAUUUGCAGGGUUCUGCCUCACGUGUGUAUACACGGGUGUUUGCAGGCACAGCGCCUGUUUACUGCGAACUCCUUGUUUUUACCAUCCUGGGUUAGGCAGGAACAAUCCCCAGGGCUGCCCUGCCCAAGCAGAUAAGGCACUGUCUGGCCCAACGUCCACAAGUAAAAUAACUCCUAGACCUUCUCCUUCUUCUCCAACUUCUUAGGGGGGAAAAUCCUCUCUGGCAAGAGUGGGUGCCAGACUCUAUUCCUUGUUGCCAGGGUGACCCUCUGUGCAGGGAGAGGGGCUACUUCCGACUGCUGGAAUCUCAUGCUCCUCUUCCAUUUGUAUUUCUUUUGGUGCUGAGGGGAACUGAUAAACAGUGAUACCCGGCUGCUCAUUGCUUUGCUUAUCAGAAGAUGGUUCUUCAUUGCUGUGCGUACGUGGGGAGCGGAUGGUUCAAAAGGCCACGUGAUGUGUUUGUGAGAGGAGCCAGUGGCUUGGCAGGGACAGGGUCCCAGAGGAGAGAGCAGAGUUCAGGGAGGAGGGAGGAAAGGCGGGGCCAGAGGAAUCUUCUGCAGAUAAUCUCCUGUUCUUAUCAGUGGCACGUUUCCCCAACACAUGUGUUCCACGGACUUGACCUUAAUCCCUGGAAAGCAAAAUGGCAGCUUCAGUCUAUUGGGCUCCAGGAGAGUGGACUUUGAUGUUCUUGGCCAGAGAUAAGCCCUGGGGGUCUCUUUGCUGUGUCUCUCCCCCAGCUCCUCCUGCCACACUCUUCAGCUUCCUUCCUUGCAGAAGCCCGAGGGGACUCUCCUCCCACCCACCCUAUUGCCUGUCUACGUGGAAUCAGAUCAGGGCAGAGCCCCAAGGCGCCCAUAGCCGAGAGGCGCUCAGCCACGUGGUCCUGCUGGCGAUCUGAUGGCCUGUAUGUAUUUGAAGGAAGCAAACCCACACUGUGGAAGACGGGCAUGGCAGACUCCUACAGUCGUUUCCUGGGAAAGAGAAGCAAGACUCAGGAGGAAGGGAGGGAAGGCAGGGGAGGAGAGCCUGGCGGGGCUGAGCUCCUGGGGCUUCUGAAGGCCCUUUUGUGGUCUGUUAUUAUGAUAAAAUCCAAACCCCUUAGCUGGCCUGUGGGGUCCCUUCCCAUCUGCACCCUGUUAUCAUUUUAAAAAAUAUUUUUUAUCUCUAAUUGAAACAUGGUAAUUGUGCACCGUUAUGGCAGGCAGAGUGUACUUUCGCGAGUAUCACAGUGUGUCAACAAGGUGGAAUUGUUAGACCCGAGGAAUGGCAAAUCUAUCACCUUAAACGUUCAUCAUUUAGUGCUGUGAACAGUCGAAGUCUUCUUUACUAACUAUUUGAAAUAUUCUAUGAAUAUCCGCUGACCAUGGCUACCUUCUAUGCGGCAUGGAGCAUUGACAGUUACUCCUAUCCAGCCACACCAGUAGCAGCGCUGACCGAGAAUCCUCGUUCCCUACCCCUUGUUCACGCCCAUGUCCCCGUGGAUUGGUUGUGCUGCCUCACUGGCAGGGCCCCUGUGCUAAAGUACCAACCCCACUCCCUUGUUCUGCCAGGUGUCCCCUCUUGUCCGCUGACCUGAGCCCUGCUGUCAUUUCCUGGGGAAAGCAUUUAUUGAUCCGCCAUGUAUCUCACAAGUAAAAUAACUCCUAGACCUUCUCCUUCUUCUCCAGCUUCUUGGGGUCCCCUUGUGCUCUGUGCCUUCUCUCCCAUGAACUCUUGUAAUCACAAUUGUAUCUUGAUUUUUGAGUUAUCUGUUAAAAAAAAAUGAUGAUAAACUCCAUGAUGCUUGAAAUGGUAUUGGGUUAUACUAUCCGUUUCCUCUCUACUGAGAACAUGUGAUAGAGUCGGACAUUUGUUGAAUGAGUGAAUGGACAGAUGGAGGGAGGAACUGAGAGAGACGGAGGGAAGAGUGAAGAGAGAGAGGAAGAGAGGAAUCAGGAACGGAGGGUGGGGCCACCUCCAAGUGCAGCUGAUUUCUCUCUGAGAAGACAUUUAUAGUUGAUUACAAAUGGGAGGACCAGUCAGAUGUGAUCCCAGACCAAAGACUUCUGUGAAUUCCUUCUAAUUCCCCAGGCUAAAUUCUCAUCAAAGCCCCAUUCUGUGGAGCCCAGGAGAGGGGGACGCCAUGAACUCUUGGCUUCGGCAACCCAGCUGGGACAUUAUUUAUUGCUGUAGCCCUGCUGGCUGGUAAGGUGCCCAUCCUCCAUCCUUUUAUCACAUACUUUCUUCAUCAAACUGUAAACCGAGAGAGCAGGCUUAGCAAUCAUUAAUCGCUGUUCUUGGAUGAGCACUAGGUCAUAUAAUUGCACAUUUUACAGCGUCCACCCGGGCCGCUGUUCCGGCUCUGUAGUCAUGCAUGUCCUCUGGAAGCAUCCAAACAAGACUCCUUGCUAAGAUCAUGGGGGGAAUGAGCGCCAGGGGCGGGUCAGAAAGAUCCCGAAAACAAUUUACUCACCGUAAAGUUGCUGAGGAGCUUGGGGCCACUGCAUUUUGGUUUGCUGCUAAGUGAAUAUGUAACUACUUUAUAUAUUUCAACAAAAUUAAACUUAAACCUACAGAAUUAGGUUUAUUAAUUUCUGUCAGGGCUCAAUGGGGGAAUUAGGAUGGCCAUUCAUUAUGGACACACAAUUACUAGAGACAAAAAUGAAGCCCCGCACUAUUAAGUAUAAUAAAAAUGUUGAACACUGAGGAAAUUUUCAUUAAAUAUAAUCUAUUCUUUAUAUUACUACACUUAAUCCUUGCUGUCUGCUUCUCUGUUUUUCUCCAACCUAUUUAAUUUUAUUACUUAACUUUUUAUAAAUGUUUCUUAAUAUAAUUAUGAUUAAAUAUUUGGGGGGAGAAAAGAACGUUAGUCUCUUAAAAAAAAAGAAGAAGAAGGAGAGGAGAAACCUCCUUUCAUCUCCCCUUUUGUUCACUCCUAAAAUGGUAAAAAAUGAUUUUUUUUAAACAAGUAAGUGCUAAGUGGGAUUUUAUAUUGGGGCAAGGCUGACGCAUGAGAGAGAGGGAGGCAAUAAAUAAGAAAGAAGCCCCAAUCAGCAAUCGUGGUUGAGCUCUUUAUAUUGCACAUUUAAACAAAAAUCCAUUGCCUUGCUGAAUGCGCCCAUGGAUAUGAGCAGGGCUGGACUGUGUAAUUACAAGAUGGCCAGCUAAUGUUAUUGCUGGCACAGCGUGGCCACGUUCGCGACCCAAGGAUUCAUUCUCCAGCCAGGAUGAGUUCUGCUUCCUCUUGCAGAGGAUGACCACUGGUUCUGCUCACUAGAGGAAGAGGGUAGAGGGCAGGGAUUGAGCACUAAGGGGUGACGGCCUCUCAGCAGAACCUUGGUGCUUUGAAAACAAGGUAGGCCGAUCCUGUGUCUGUGGGCAGAGGGGUCGGGGAAGCUGGAUGGCCAUGGUGCACAUUUAAUUUUCCCUGACAAAAUGUGGCGCCGUGAUCAUCUUUAAGUUUCAUGUCAUGGCCUCACGUACUUUUAACACAGCCCGGUCAAGGAAUAGUGAUCAUGUAAGCAGAGGACCAGGGAUAUUGAAACUAAACCGUGAUUUUCUCACUCACACCCAUUAACGCUGCUUUAGGGACUUGCUCAGAACAUGGGGGCCUUGGUUGCACGGCCAGCUCACCUCAGGACUCUAACCUUGGGCAUCUCUUGCUCAGUUGUACCUUGGGCAUCUCUUGCUCAGUUGUAAGAGUCAUCCGGUAUCUGCUUUCAUCCAGCUGUGUGAGAUAAGAAUCAAGCUUUCCUCCAGACUCUAUCAUGAAUUUGGGCCCUAUCCUUGCAGCUGGCGGACUUUGCCAUCUUCAUUGGGUAGGCAUCUGGUGUUUGCACUGUAAUGACCGUCAUUCAUGGCUGAGACACAUACGUGGAAUGGUGACGUUUUUCCAUUUUUAAAUUUGUUUCUUUGGCAGCUGACGUUGUUGGUGCCAUUGCUAUUAUUUCUGUUUGUAGGAUUCCUGACAUGGUGAUCAAUUCUUCCCGCUGUUAGUGUAAACCUUAAAACUAGAAUAUUCUACCACUUCCAUCAUCUUCAAGAUGCCCUUCUCGGGUUUCCUGAACUGCUCCAAUCUGGGUGGGUGGCUGGCAGCUGAAGUCUGGGAAUCUCCUUUUAUCACCAUCCCUGGCCCUUUACCCCCUGGCAUACUGGAGGCCUAUUUCCUGAGCCCCUUGCUCUUGUCUGGAGUCCCCUGUGUGUUGCAGAGCAUGUCUUGCAAGAACUCCCAGAGAGGAUGCAGGGGCAUGGAAAUGCCAAGGACUUGCCCCGUUGGAGAAGCCACCCCACAUUGUACCAUCAAAGCCUCUCCCAGCGUUUCCUACUAGAUCAUCUUAUUUUAGUCUUCUGCCUAAUCUGCACUUGAGCUGACAAUUUUCCUAUUAUUUAUUAGCUUCCUUUAUUUCUUGGCUUCCCUAUCAGGAAAUCAGGUCAUGAGAGCUGGGAUCUUGUCUCCCCUGCUCACUGCUGAGCCCUGUGCAAGAAAGAUAACAGAUCCGCUAGGCACUCCAUAAAUAUUAGUUGGAUAAAGAAAUUAAUGAGUUGAUUAGCUAGCUUGCUUAACUGUAUGACUCUACCUGGAGCAGGGGGGUAUCGGAGAAGUUUGGCCCUCACGGGAUGUAGCUCACCUUCACACAGAGGGUGUGAGGUUCUCUAACAGAACCACAACAAGCAUCAGCCUUCGAAAAUGAAAUUAAUAGCAGCCUCUUCCAUGCCACCGGCUCCCAACACCUCCAGCACCGGCUCUUUCAGCCAGCUGAACAGAAAGCCCAGACUUUGGGCCCUCGCCCCCUUGAGGGAAAGCUCGAUUCUCAUCUUGCAGAGUUGGGAGAAAGUGGGAAAUAGAUUACGCUUGAAACUGGACUAUGGUGGCCAAAGUUGAGCUGAGAUCAAUUCAGGAGAGGUACAGGUGUACUUUCCAAGGAUUCAGGAUUCUGGAUCGGUAGUCCCCAAACUACUUUAAAUACGUGUAUGCGUGGUGUGCAUGUUCAUGUGUGUACACGGGUAAAUAGGAAUUGUGUACAUGUAUGCAUAUGCUUUUAUAAAUUAUACCUUUAUAUCAACAUACUAAUAUAUUAAGACUAUUACAAAGCAUGUAAAAUUGAAUUUAUAGCAGAAGAAAUAAAAAUAACAGUAAGUAGAAAUGUUGGUAUUUUCUUUAUAUAUCUGUGGAAUCAUUAUAUAUAUAACUUUUGGGAAACCCUGAUUUAGGAUAGUACUCACCAUACUUUAGUUUAUAAAGGAACCACCUAGAAGGCAUCUUAAAAUAUGUGGAUGUCUGGGCUGUGGAUGUGGCUCAGUAGCAGAGCACUUGCUUAGUGUUUGCAAGGAUCUAGGUUCAAUCACCAGCACCAGAAAAACAGAAUAAAACACGUAGAUUUCUGAACUCCUGUCAGAAGGUGAAGUCACUAGGACUUGUGAUUCUGCAUUUCCUCCCACUUUAAAUACUGACCUGGAUCUCUGAGCAUCACUAUUUGGGCAGAUUUAAGCAAAGCAACAUGUUGGAAUCACGUAGCGUAGCUUCUGGUUGAGAUGGCUUCAUAAAUAAGUAAGAAAAUUGUAGGCUCCUGGCUUUGUUGGAAAGGCUAAGUUAACAAAGAUAAGGGUCAUGGGCCUCGCAUUUCUGCAACUUUCCUUAAUGGACUAUUUUCAGUAUCUUCCACAGGGGAUGUUGAUGUUCUAUAAGUCAUGAAUUCUUCUUUAGAUUUUAGAUGGCGUUGUUGCUUGAAAGUGGCCCAGUGACAUUCACAGCCUCCUAUUUUGGAUCCCAUACUUUAGGUCUCACUCAGUGCUAGUCAAUUUUCUUUAGCACCCCCAAGAAAGAGCAUUACGAGAUUUAUUACCAAUUCACAGAUGUGGAAACCGGGGUCUCGAGAAGUAAUUUCAUCAAAGUCUCGUCACCCAAACAAUACAAAGCAAAACAAAAGGAAACAAACAAAAAUCUCCUGGCUCCACACCUGCAGAGUGAGAUAUUAAAACCCAGGGAAAGUGCAGAGAUUGCCGAAGGCCACAGCGAGGGCUGGUCAUGGAGCUGGCUGUUCCCAGGGCCCCCUAAGUCCAGUUCCGUGUGUUGUAUACAACGCUGAGGUUCGCACCCUAACACCCCUCAGCUGAUGGCUGGCUGGACCUGGUGGAGCUCUUCAGCAGUUCUGUGUCCCCUCAGGUGCUGCUUUAGUCUCCUGCUCACUUAUCACCUCCCAGGGGCAAUAGUGACCUGCUCACAGCAAACUUAAACAGGAUGCAAUUUACCAGGCCCCACACUCCCACCAAUGAAAGGACCCCAGAGCUCCACCCUGGUGGCUUCGUGGUGCCACAUUCUGCCACCCACGCGCUCAGCAGGUGUCCCACAUGCUUCCCUCUGCUCUGUGUGCUUGGUGUCAGUUAAGAGCAGCAGCUUGGUGCCAAGCGCUCUCCACCUUCCUGCCUGAUGUUUUGGCAUUGUCUACACGUGGCCUCGGGGGGCAUUUUGAUGGAUGCUUUUUGCUUCUGUAGCAGUAAUAUUAACCUUGUUUAAUAAUCUAUUAACAAAGAGGAUAAAGUUCUUAUUAACAUUCACAUGUUUUUUUGCCACUGGAAUAACAGUCUUUUUGUCCAUUUGAAAGACUGAUUUUUUUUUUUUUUAAAUGACAGGUUGAUAGAUGUGGUGGAAAGGUCACUGGCAGAGACAGUGGAUCACCGGUUCAGACCCUGGCCAGCCACUUACGGCAGUGUGACCCGGUGAGGUCCCCUGACCUCUCUGAGCCUCAGUUUCCUCAUGUGUGAAGUGGGGCAGUUGAAAUCCACAUUGCAUCUUUAAUUUAAAAGUUGAGAAAAUGUAUAUGCAGUGCUAACUUGGAAUACAGAAGGCACUCAUAUGUGUUGUUCUCCCCACUCUUACACCCCACAAAAUGGGUUUCAUGUAUUUUAAUGAAUGCUGUCCACAAGUCCCCUGGUUAUGAAUGAGGCUUGACUUGGUUUUUAUUUUAUCCAAGCCCAGAGACAAACCCAUCCUGUCAACGCAGUGGGCUGCCUUCUCAGGAGCCCAAGAAGAACAGGAAAAGAAAGCAACGUGCUGGGCUAUCGUGGACCUUAGGAAAUAACCGGGAAUAAAGACAAAUAGCCUACUAUAUAUAUUUUUUUUCUGAAAUGGCUCUUUCCAUAAUUACACAUGUAUGGCUUCAUAUCAUCCUGAGCUGAGCAAAUCAGGCUACCUCUCUGGCCACUAAUAACAAGGCAGAAGCAGCCAAGGGGCACACCAGCUGUAUAUUUGUAGCUGAAGCUCAGGGAUACUCUGAUGUCCCCUUGUCCAUCUCUGUUUUUCCCAUCAUUCUGUCUUUUUCAGAGCCUGAGUACAAACCCCUGCACACGUGGCUUCUCAAGGUGGUGAGUCCCUUGGAGAUGGGGAGACAGCAAAAUAGACAAAUGAGAGAGCUUCAAGUCACAGAGCCAAGUUCUAAGGGAGGACAUGGAGACUUGAAAUGCUUGUUAGAGGAGAGAGGUGUCCUUCAGGAAGUGCACAUUUCUAAGUCAAAGAUGUAAAAUUCCUGAAAUGCUAGGAAAUUUGGGGAGAGGUUCAAAAAUGCUACACACAUCUAUGGAGCUGCUCACACUUGACUGCUACCAAGUGGAACUCUUGAGAAAAAAAUAUCCACACCCAGCACAUCCCACUACCCCUCCUCUAGGUUCAGACAGUCUGAGGUUCUGAGGUGGGAUUCAGAUGCUGACUUUUUAAAAAGCCUCCACCAUUGAGAAAAGUGCCCUGGGGCAAAAGGGUGGUGAAGGCUGGGUGGUGGAGGCUGGGUGGUGGAGGCCAGUUGGGAGGGACAGACUCUGCCUCCCCUAUUCAGGAUUAUCUGGCACAGAAGCACAAAUGCACUUAUUUCUACAGGGAUCCAAACUAAUAUUUGCAUUUUUUUUUUUUAAAAAGGAAAAAGUGCUUCCUAGGUGAUAUUUUUUUCCUUUGGUCAAAUAUAUUCUUCAACAGAGAAAUACUCAUCCCCUCUGGACUAAUCGCAGCCCUGUUGCUGAUGGUGUCUGCAUUAAGUUCAGCUGGCAGGGAUGAGCAUCAACACGCAGAGGGGCAGCUGCUGUUGGGGGGAAUUAUUACCAUUUCAGAUGUCACUCAGCUUGACGUGUGAUUAAGGGGAACAGGCGGCCCCUCCUGUCUAGGCUGUGGGCAGACACAAAAAUGGAAAUCUGUUUCCCCAGACUGGCAUGCUGCUAUGUCAUAACCAAUGCCUGGUACCCCAGCCACUUCCCCGCACAUCCAGGAUCUUGAAGCAUUUAGCUUCAAUUAUGGAUGUCACUUGUCACUUCUGGGAUGCUGACUACAUUAGUAAACCUGUUUUUUUUUUUGUUUUUUUUUUUUGAGGAUUUUAUUCAGGUGUCUUGUGGAUAAAUAGCAUUUAUCUAUUUUCCUUGCAUUUCCAUGUUGUGUUCAUGGAAUGACACAGAAGCAGAAUCACCCUCACUUUUAAGUCCCUGGAGUGGAUAGUUGUGGCAUUGCAUGAAGUUUUCCAAAGGUCUGCACCAUCCUCUGAGAGUUCUGUUUAACUGCAUAUGCUGAAUGGUUGAACCAAUAGCUUCCUUGUGCACCCAGGGACGCUGCGACCUUCAAAGGGGAAGGGACGUGCUUGGCAGGAUAUGUGGAGCCUAGGGGAGCAGAAUGGGGCAGACUGGACUCCCAUGGGGAGAGUGUGGCUGAGCCAGGUUGGGGAAGAGAAGGUGACCUGCUGGGGGUGGGGGGUGGGGGUUAUUGCAGAGCUGGAGUGUCCUGUGCUAAUGUGGCCCAGCGGGGUUCCAAUCAAUUUUACUUCUGGGUGCAGAGGCUGUGGCAGUGGUAGGGUAGAUAGGGUUAGAAGGAGCUGGGGUUGAGUCCUGACUCUGUCCUCAAGCACCUGGGUCCUGAUAAGUCACAGUGGUCUUCAGUGUGUCCUAGAAUGAGAAUUCAGCAGGUGACACCUAGGUACCAAGACCAUAAUCAUGUUGCCUCUUUGUACCACUUGGGUGACCUGCACAGCACAUGGCAACCAAGGACAAGGUCACACUAGCACAACUCUGGAGCAAGACCAGGUUAGCUCUUUAGUGGAUAGAUUGUAGGGAUACCUAGGAGAAACCAAAUCAGCAGAGAUGAGGAAGAGGUGACUAUUACCGGCUGCACAGAGGUACUGUAGUAUUUUAUCUACUGGAACAACUGUGUUGGUCCAAACAGGAUGAAUAUCAACCUUGGUACCAUGGGUUGUUAACUGAGUGGCUUACUUUAUUCCAACCUUCUGCUUAGACUAGAUAAUAUCUAUAUGGAGAGGGAUAGACUCUAUUCCUCAUGAAUUCACUCAGAAGGCUCCUGGUGAGACCCUCUGUAUGACUCACAAGUGCUAAGCACCUGCUGUAUACUAAGCAUUAUGUUACAGAUUGACAAAGGUGAACAGGAAAUAGCUCCCAGUGAGCUCAUGGUCAAGGUCAAGUGAGGAAGACAGGCAGGUAAACAGGCAAGACAGAGCCUUCAAAUAAAUCAAAAACUCAUGGAGGACAGAGGAGAGGAUCUGCCAGGGGCACUUAGAGACAAUUUUAGAGACAUUUAAGCUCUCCUCCUCCUCCUCCUCCUCCUCCUCCUCCUCCUUCUUCUUCUUUGGAGUUUUAUUUUGUUACAAGAUAACACCAAAAAUAAAUACCACUUGUUAAAAAUUAAAAGUUCAAAGAUAAAUCUAAAGACCCUUCACUUUAACUCAAUCAUAGAUAACCAUAAUUAUUAGUUCGAUGUGAAAGUUUGAGUCUGUUGCUCUAGGAAAUGGUAACAGUGUGUCCCCGUGUAUGUCAGAUGUGUGUGCGCAUGUGCACAUAAGCUCUCAUUUUGUGCAUAUCACCGUAAGCUUGUGCUUUGUUACUCUCAAGAACCUCCAAUCUGCCAGGAGCUAUGACACAUGGCUACAAUCCCAGCAACUCCAGAGGCUGAUGCAGGAGGAUCACAAGCUCAAGACCAGCCUCAGCAACUUAGUGAGACCUUGUCUCAAAGUAAAAUAUAAAAAGGGUUGGGGAUGUGGCUCAGUGGCUGAGUGCCCGUGCGUCCAAUCCCCGGUUCAAAAAACCACCACCAGUACAAACAAAAUAACCCCCUCCAAUCUUCUGAUCCCUGUGGGGUAGUCACUUGAGUGUGGGUCCCUAAUUUGUACACCUAUUCUCUUUUUGAUGGUCAGUGGCACGCAUUAUAUUUUUCAUAUUAUAACCAGUACUACUGUUAGCAUCCUAUCCCUGUCUUCUUGUGGACAGUGUGAGUGUUCUAUGGGAGAGAUGGAGAUAAGCAUUUGUUGAGGUGUCAAGUGUGCCACAACCUCCCCACCCCAGGUAUCAUCGAUACACACACCUGUGUUUCACCAAUUAGGUACAAAAUAGGAUUUUCCUGACCCCACCUUUGCAUGGUGUUAUCAAAUAUCUCCUCACUGUUUCCAGCAGGAUGUGUGUUAUCUCACGUUUUCAUUGGUCUUCUGGAGUGUCAUUUUCAGUGUAUACCAGCUAUUUAUAUUUCCUUGGACUUGGAUUUAGAAGAUGGUAGACAUGUUUACCAGGGAAGAGAAAGCUGUCAGGGCUAAAGUAGCAAGUGCAAUCAGAAGUCUGGAAGCGUGGGGUGUGCAGUGGAUGAAAUACGGGUACAAAGUGGGAGGGAUGUGAACGCCAAACCAUGGGGCCAGCUUCUAGGUUUCUGGACCACACAGACAAUCCCCCUUCCAUUCUCUCACCAAUAAGGCAUAUCUGGUACUUUUAUGUCCUAAAGUUUUAAGAUGAAGUUUGCAUUUCAAAAGGGUGCCUUUGGUCACCUUUCGGAGGUUGGACUGAAUACAAAGCAGAGUGGACAGAGAGACCAAGGACCUAUUUCAGUAGGAAUAGGACUAGGACAAUGUCCUUAGUCUCCUAUGGGACGAGGAGGGGUCGAGGCCAACCCAGCUGGCUCAGCAGGGGUCUCGAUUGCUGGUCACAUCCUCUCCAAGUCUCAUUUCUUCCUUUGGGCGCACCAUUCUUCAGAUGCAGGAGUGGCCACAGUGACUCCUCCAUGGGGUGGAGAAGCCCAGAGAAUGCAAAACAGGGGGAAAAUAUGCCCUCUCGUUCCAGUUCCUGUCCCAUCUCCAGUUCUACCCAUGUCCCAGCACCUUUAACCUCACUUCUCUCAGAAGCACAGAUACCUGUAUCCAACUAACACUCAGCCAAGUGUCCUGCGUUCCGUUAGUUAGAAAAGGGAAAGGACAAUUGUGUGUGAUGGCCACCUGGUUCUGCUUUGUAUGCUCCCAUCACACCAUUGUGUGUGUGUGUGUGUGAGAGAAUGUGUGUGUGUGCGUGCAUGUGUGUAACUGAGUUGAGAAAGAUCUGAGGCUUGGUGUUAACAGUGGGAGAAAGUGCCAAUUAAUUGCUUAGAGUUGCCACCUAUUGCCACAUGUUCUGUUAGUGCCCAGGUUGUCAUUUCCAGAAACCUUCUCUUCUGACUCCACACACAUUCUGCUACAGUGUGAAACGGCACUCAGGGGUCUUGGGUUCUCUCUUCUGUUCUUUCAAGAUUGAAUCCAGGCCAAGGGGAAAUUCUCUUGGGCUCUGAGUGGAUUAGUGACAUGGGAAGAAGGCACAGAGGAGAGCAGGCUGAUAUCUGCUGAUAUCUUCUCUGCACCGCAGAGAGCAGGUCUGGUGAACAGCAUGCUGGACCUUGGUGUUGGAAUGGGCACUGUUUCCCGGCCACACAACCAACGUCCUCUCUGCCAGUGGCCAGCCAACUGUAGCCCACAGGCCAGAUCAGAGCACGCCUGUUUUUGUACAACUCGCAAAUGAAGAAUGGUUUGUACAUUAAAAGAAAUAGAAGAAAAACCUAAAGAAGAGUAUUUCAUGACACACGCAAAAAUAUUUGAAUGGUUCAUAAUGAAAAGUUAGAUGAAAUUCAAAUGUCGGGGCCCAUCAACAAGUUUGGCUGGAACACAGCUCUGCUGAUUGGGUCAAGUAUCGUGUAUGGCUGUUUUGGGGCUGCGGUGGUAAGGUAGGCUGGUUGAGACCUCCACGGUCUGCCAGAUCUAGCACAUUUAUUAUCUGACCCUGUGUAGAAAAAUAAGUUGUCCACCCCUGAUCUACUGAGCUGGGAAGCUGGAGGUUGGUGGUCACUCUCGCCCUCAGUGUCAAAUAGAUGUCCUGGAUUGACACAGCCUCCAUGUGGUGAUUUAUUAAAUUAUUGGGAGGGAUGGGGUAGUUUGGAGAGUUUUUCAAUUUGAAAAUUGGGCUUUGGGCAGGGCAAGGAGUCAGGAGCCUGAAGCUCCUGCGCUCACACAGGUGUGAAAGAGCUUGCUCCUCUGCUGUGCCUUUCACUCCAGGAAGGAGAGCAGAGGGAGGCUCCAUUGAAGAGGCCUUUGCUUUUGCAGGUGCUGUUCGCUCGUUCCUUUUAAUUAGGGUGUGGGCUGCAGAGGCCCAACUCCACCCCAGAGGCAUCGGGCAAGAGGGUGGAAUCCAUUUGACAUCAAACAAAUGGUUUGGGGUGAGCGUGUCUCACAGCCCGCGCAUGCAUAAUCACAGGGCUCAUUGCGCCCAACACGAGUUUGGGAAAUCAAGAUGCAGCUCAGAGUGGCAUUUCCAACCUUCCCUGGAAAUGGGGGGAAAUCAGUUUUAUUUAUUAAUUCCAUCUUGCCGGCUCCCAAUUUGGUGCAAACAGUUAUGUUUUGCAGCACGUUUCCACCUUGCAACUAGCAGAGUUAAUUUAAUGAAAUGAGUAGUCUUGUGGUGACCUGAAGGGGGAAAACACAUUAAUCUGGAAACUAUCAAAGCCUUCUGACAUGUAUUAUUGUAGGACUCAGAAAAAAUAAACAGUUUAUGUAGAAGAUUAAGUGGCAGUGUGGAUUUGCUUUUGACGUAUCUUGUCUCCAAAUCUAAGUUGGGGAUUUAUUAUCGUGCUAUCAUGUCACAGCUAUCUCAUUUAUAUGAUAACACAUCUGUAAUGUUUUACAAGUGCAGCACUACUUGUUCGGAAUGGGGCUUUUUUAAGUCCUAAAUUAUAGUACCUGGAGAGGCUUGCAUAAUUAUAGUGCGUGUUAGCAAAUGAGAGGGUGCAUUUCCUACCCGCGCUCUGCAUUAAUCGUCAGCACAGCGGGUGCAAUAAAAUCAUAAUUGCUUCUUCCAAACUUCUCAUCUGAGCUGCUCAGGUUGAAAGCGGUGGUUUGGUGGAGAGAAGCUUACUUCGUGGUGGGUGGAGGCCUCACUCUCAUCUUCCAGAGGGUGCCUGGAGACGGCUGGAGACAGCCGUACAAGCAAGAGGUGCACAGGGAGGUCUCCUAAUCUUGAUGAUACUCUCAAAUUAGUACAUGAGAAAACAAGGUUGAAUGUUGAUUGUGGGUCCUGGUUUGGGGAACUGGGUUUGGAUUCUAGCUCUGCCUUUCAAUUUUGGACCAAUGAUCUCACUUUCUGAAUCGUUGUCUUCUCAUCUACAAAUGAAAGAUGGUAGUCCCUAAUGUAAGGUGUUCUUAAGGCAAUUAACAUGCUUAUAAAGCGCCAAGUAGACCUGCAAUAAAUGGUGGCUGUUAUUACAACUCUCCCUCCAAAACAUUGUCUUAGCUUGUGCUGUCUGCUGUGGCCUCUAAUGGCCACAUGUGGCUACAGAGCACUUGAAAUGUGGCCAUUCCCAACAGAGAAGAGCUAUAAAUCCAAAAUACAUACCAACCUUUGAAGGUUUAGUAUGAUCAAAAAAUGUAAAAUAUCUUAGUCAUUUUUAUAUCGAUUACAUUUUGAAGCAAUAAUGUUUUGGCAAUAUUGCCUUAAAUACAUUAAAAUAAAUGUCACCUGUUCUUUUUUGUAGCUACUGGGACAUUACAAAUUAUGUAAAAGGCUCAUAUUAUAUUUUUAUUGGCCAGCAUUGGUCUAGACGAACACUGAUCAAAAUGUCCUGGAUAUGUGUUUUGAGUUGUGACUCAUAUUUCUUGAUAUUGUUAUUAUUAUUGUCAUUGAUUUAUUAUUUGUCUACUUUGGAAAAAGUAUUUUAGAUGGUUUGCUAGAGAAAAUAGAGAAGAGUUAGCAAUUUCCACAAACCACCUAAUUUAACUCCAAGUACCCCUGUAGCUAAGGCAAAUACAAGAAAUAUAUUUGGAUCACAUGGGGUUUUUAAGAAGUCUAGGGAUUCACAUAAGUUUGUUUGAAAAGAACAGCUUACUCUCUGGCACCGAAUUUCAAAGGACUGUUUCCUGUCGCAAUCCUGAAAUUGCAUAGACACCUGCACCUCUCCAUCCUCCUUAAGCAAAGCUUUUAUGAACUUAGAAUCCUAUGAGUCAUGCAAACGCAGUGAUGAUAAUUACACCCCCCUUCGCUUAUGUAAAUUAUCUGAUUUGAUCCUCGAAGCAGCCCUGCAGGAUGGGCUGUGCAAAGACUAUUGUUUCUUUUUUAUGGACGACAAACCUGAAGAUCAGGGAGGACUUCAUGACUUGCCCAAGUUUUCAUAGUCAGUAAGUAGCAAGGCCAAGGCUCAAAGCUUUGUUGCCUCAAGUGGAAAACUCCCCAUGCUUUUGGCAGUCACAUGCAUUUUGGUGUGAAAGAGACUUGUAGCAGAAAGCAGAGCACAAGACCCCCUUGUCAGGAAAUGGGACACAUAUGCAACUAGGAGGUGGCUAUCUCCAAAGAUGAAAUUCGGCUUAACCACAUAGAAGAAAUAGAUGUUUUUGCACACACGUUCCAUUAUUCAUUACACCCAACUCAAAAUAUCCCAUGUCUUGGCUUUACAAUGACUGACAGGAAGGCACAUUAGCUGGAAAGCUCCAAGAGCAGCUCUCCAAUCACCUGCACCUGGUACAUGUCAGAUUUUCACUCGUAGGCCCAGGGAGGGGCCUGGGAACUUGCAUUUCUCACCAGCUCCCAGGUAAUGCCUUAAUUGUUGGUAUGAGGUUUGAAUGAAGAAAUUCGAGAUGUUUGUUAUCUGCUUUCCCCCAAAACUAUCUCAACCAUGGAGUCCUGAUUCUUGACUUGCAAAUAAACCAAAACAUCCUUGGGGAAUUUUUUUUUUUUUAAUUAAUGCUGAUGCUGGAGACCAGUUUUGGGGAAUGAAGUUCUCAGAAUGGUAAGUUCCCACCUGUCCCCAGGUGUUCUAGAAUGUAGUCUUACUGGAAACAUUUCAAUUGGGACCAAGGGGUUCACAUAGCUUGGGCAUUUUCUUCUACCCGGGAAUUGACCAAGGGUUCCUCAAACCUGAGUACCAGCUACCCAUAGAGUUCUUCCCUUUUUCUGUGUGACACCCAGUUGUUCAUUCUUGAAUUUGGUUAUUGAGGGUCAAUGGUGUGCACGGCACUGGGUGCAUAUGGCAGAAAAUAUUCUUCCCAGUGUGUGUUUUCUAGGGAGCUAAAGUGUUGAUUUGAGUGUAACUGGGGGAGAGCAACAGGUGAUUUCAAACAGUGAUAAGUGAAAGAAUGAAAAUAGGAAUGGAUAGUCACUGAAGUAGGUGAGUGGUGGUGAUUCAGAAGGGGCGACCAACUUUGAAGGGGACGUAAAAGUGACAAGUUCCACAGAAGGAAACUGGAGUGGGAGGAGACUCCAAGCUCCUGGAGUCUGGUAGUUGGGGUCCGCUACCAGUGGACCAAAGCUGGGGACUCUAUUUCCCACCCAGAAUAGCUUUUAGGAACACUGACAGAGAACGAUAAAACUCCAGCUCCCUGGGUCCCACCUGCAAGUGAAUUCAUCAGACUCCACGGAGUGGGCGCUCAGCACCUUUAUAUGGAUGUUGAAAACAACCUGCAAGAUUUGGAUGGAGCUCCCAGCGUGAGAAGUUCCAGAUUAGACAUGGAAAAGCACCAUCGUUAGCUAGAAGUCAAAGAGAGGGUCGGCUGCCUUCUUCCAGCUCAACAAGUGCUGAAAUAGCUGGGCAUGGUAGUCCCAGCAGCCUCCAGAAUUCCCACAUCACUCCCUUUCUUUUCCUUUGGAAUAAACAGCUGGUGAAUACGACAUCAAUUUAACUAUAAUGACUGCUUUUAAUUUUCAUCGCCAAUCUAUACUGUUACUAUGUAUUGGGAUCCUGGCCGGUGCCAACUGCUCCGGCCACAUGUCUGGUUUUCAUUUAGGCUCUGAGUUCUUUUCGGGUAGUUGUCUACAGAGGCCUGGUUUAAUGCGUAACCCUAAUUGCACUGUGGAAUUAAGUUGGUGCUGACUAUAGCAUUUUCAGUUUCAGAUUCAAGGAAAGUAUCUCAUAGGAGGGGGAGAGAAGGGCCUCCCAAGGGUUCCACCCUCUUACCAGCCCCUUAUCUUUCUGUAUUUUUUACAUUCAACGUUUUUUUAAAAAUGAAGUGCAUAAUAUGGCUAUAAAACUACAGUUUAGAUAAUGUGGUCAGCCUGCCAGUUUAUGUAUAUGCAUAUAUCUUCUCAGUUUCACAGUGUCCCCUUCUCCACCUCCUAGGCUGACACAGGCCUCGUUUCCCAUUAAAAAUGCUGGCAGCUUUGACAUGAGGAUAAAAAUGCAAUCUGAGCUCCUUCUCCUGAGCUAGGCUUGCUGCUGAGUCCUCCUUGAGCCCCCACAGUCUUUGAGGGAAGCUAGGUUGCUAGCUGAUACUCAUUUCCAACAAUGUUUGGAGAUAGACAUCUGCUACAUAAAGGACGAAAUGAAAUAUCCUCACAUCACUAUGUAAGGAUAAAAAGGAUUUUCUCCAGGAUGGCAAGUACUUCUUGGUAAAUUAGGAUGGGGCCAUGAUGGCGAAACUUUGCCCACGUUCUGUCCUCGUUCAUGAGACGAGAUAGAAGAAGAUGCCCAAUUAAAGUUGAGCAGCAGAUGUAAUCGCAGCUGAGUUGGAGCAGGCGGUCGGGAUGGAUUGAGGAACAAAUCUGAACUCGGUGCAGCGCCCAGCCCUCUGCUGAGUGGAAGGCAGCCAUUGAUAUACAUAUAUAUCGACUUUCCUCCAAUAUGAUUCCCUUCUCGUGGUUCCCUCUUCCGUUUCUUUCUCCAGGCUCUCAUUCUACUUGCUGUUCGAUAAGUCAUUGCCAGGCUGGGUGCUAGAGACUUGUGAGACCCUGCAGAAAGCACAGGAACAAGAGAACUGGGUUGUGUCCCCUCCCUCCAUGGGCCUUCCGGCUAGCCACGGGACAUAAAGAAAAUGAUGUCAGGGGCGAUUUUGUAAGAGGUGAGUGACAGCAAGUUACCAUCAGUUAUCUGCCCCAGACUUCAGGGGACGGGGAGACUGAAACUUGUGCCAAGAGGCACUGGAUCUGAGACCUUCAGGGUGAGGGAGACUUGAUCUUCGUGCAGCACCCGAGCACCCAGAAAUAUUUGAAAGGACCAUUGACAGCUCUUCCUGUCCAUCCAGGGCCAUUGUCCCUUCUCUGUGGCUGUCAUCUUUCUGUUAAGUCCCAUCGUGGUUGCCUCACCUAUGACCCUUCUUUCUUAGGCUGUGUCAUGCCCCUGAGGACACUUGGGGACACCCAGUGGCAGGAGUGCCACAUGUUACACUCCAUCCUUCCCAGGACACCUGCAGCUUACUUUUUCUCAGGAUCCCUUGAUCUAAUACCCCCCCCCUACUCCUUCCUCUGCUGCCUGUCCCUUAGUGUACGUGAGUGAAGACCUGCCUCCUAGUCUCCCAGCCCUCCAGGCCCUUCUCCUCUGCCUAGGCCCCCAUUUAUGACCACAUCUUAUUUGGACACCCCCUUUCUUCAGCUCCUUCCUGUCAUUCUUCCCUGCUUACCCUCAGUACUCCAUUCCCUCGAGUCUCUAGGUCACCCCCAUAUACCAAGCCCCUCACAACUUCUCUCCAUCACCCCCAAUCCCUUAGCUCCUCUCAAUGGUACUUACUUAACUGCUUAUUAACAGUGACAUUUUAUGUUCACACAAAAAUUGCUAAUCUGUAAAGCAAAGUACUCAUUAAGCUUUCUAGUGGUUACCGUUGUUUUACAUUUGUAAAUUCCCAACUCCAUCUUGGACCUUGAAGUGCAUUUAUUUGAAAGAUCAGCCUUAUCCUGAUAUCAAAAGAAGGCCUGAGAAAGUUAGGACUUUACAUCUGAGCCAGUGGGAGACUUGUCUAAGGCUUUUAAGCAGGAGAAUGGCCUGAUCAGAAGAGGCUCUGUGGUGGAGGAGGGGUUAGGAGGUACUGAGGAGAGGGAGGAGCAAUUGGGAACUAUGUUCUAAUGAUGCCCUGGGCAGGACCUGACCAGAGGCAUCAGCAGGGUUACCAAGAGAAGGUGGAGGAGAGAGACUGAGGAGGUCUCCGACAGGGGACAGAGGAGAGAAGAGAAGGGGGGGGGGUCAGGGUGGUUCCUAGAUUUUGGCUUGGACCUUGAGGCAUAUGGUGAGCCGUGGGUGGGCAGAGUGGGUUUGUGUAGGAAACUGAGGAGUCUGGAAAGCAAAGAGCCCGGGAGACCUGGGAUCACGAGAGGGGAGGGUGACCUCCUUGACCGGAGAGUCACGUAGCUAGGCUCUGGUUGUCAGAGAGGCAUUGUCCCGACACUGUCAAACUCAGAACACUCUUUUUUCUCAUGUGUGGCCAGCAGCCAUCGAGGACACCAGAGAGAAAGUGCCCAGGCCUUGUGAAGCCGUCAGAAACGGCUCAUUAACCCAGCUUGUAUGCUAAUGCUGUGCUCUUACUAUUUCUUCACUCUUGUUUUCCCUUUUUACUCAUUCCUUUAUUUCUUUUUCUGUGUGUGUAUGUUUUAUCCAUUUGUUGGAAAACACUUCAAGUUCACCAGGGAACAAAAGCAGCAAGAAGAAGGAUGCUUGGUUUCUGCUGAGAAAUUACAAUCUAGCCCAGGAGCAGAUUUGGCUUAAGUGAAAUAAUUGGAGAAAAUAAAAAACAACUAAAAUCGGACCAUGUAGUGAGAGUUGAGAGAAAGGAGAAAUGAGGGAAAGGGCAGAGCUUGAACAUAGGGUCCUAACUGCGGGGAGGUUCCAAAUGGUUAAGUUGAAAAAAAGGCAGCACAAGCAAGCCCUUCCGGUUCCUCCAGACCCGGACACCUGACAGCCAGCCAAAGUCAGUGUUAGCUAAAGAGGUUUGGCCCCUGUUCAGUCUGAUCAAAAAUGAAUUAGGAGGAUGCAUAUAAACAGGGCUUAGGGGAUGGACUCACACACACACACACACACACACACAUACAUGCCGUGAGUCAGGAUAAUAAUUACAGGCUUUUAAUAAAUGCUAAUGUGGUGAUAACAACUUCACAUAGUUAAGAGUUGUUUAUGCCAAGAUCUGACAGUAGCUGAUUUGGGAUUUUCCCCAUUAACCAAAAAAGCUGAGUGGUGAGCUCCUUCCUACCUCCUGCCACCCCUCUCCACCAUGCCCCCACCCCCACCAUGACUCCAAUCACUGACCUUGCCAUUGGCUGUAUCUAGGCUCUGCCCAGGUGAACCCGCUGCUGGGGCCUGACUUGCACCGCGGAACGUCGCCUCCUACUUCCCUCAGUACUUGCUGGACGGUGCUUUGGUUUGUCUGAGAAGGGGAUGUCCAGUAGCUAGCAUGGACUUCAGAGAGGGUCCCAGUUUCCUUCCUCCGUUGCAUUCCUGCACCAGGCUUCUGGAUCCUACAUAUAAAAACAAAACCAAAAAACAAUGAAACAGAAAGAAGGGCAGGGAGCAAGCCUGAGAUGGGAGGAUCAAAAGUUCAAGGUCAGCCUCAUCAACUUAGUAAGGCCCUAUCUCAAAAUAAAAAACAAAAAGGGCUGGGGAUGUAGCUGGAUGUAGCUCAAUGGUAAAGCACCCCAGGAUUCAAUCCCUAGUACCCUUCCCCCCAAAAAGAGAGAGAGAGAGAUUUUUUUUUUCUUCUGCAAUUCUUCAAAUCUGCAAAGGAUGCAUUGGGAGUCAGGAUACAAAAAGAGGAAUAAACCUGCAGCCCACGAUUCUAGCCGAAGGUCCCUCAACAGAAACAGAACUCUGCACAUUGGGUCGACUCUUGCUCUGUCAAAUCCAAAAUUGUCCACCACGCACAUUUUUAUCAACUCAGACACAUUAUUGCAAAGUUGGGCUUUAAUUCCGAAGGUCUGUGUCCAAACUCCAGCUCCCUGGUUUGCCCACUGCCAUGGGAGACCAGCCCGCUUCAGCCUUCUGCCCCGGGAUCUUCAUUUGCAAACCCCUUUGCAUGGAAUGAAGAUUCAAGGUGAAGGGGAACACAGUCAAAAUUCCAUGAGAGUGUCUAUUACAUAGUAGGUCCUCAUGAGAGUGUCUGUUAUAUAAUAAGUCCUCAGUUAAUCACAGCCAGCAUUAAUGGGCCGGGCACUGAGCUCAACAGAGUAUGCAUGACAUUUUUUUAUUAUUUUUAUUAUCUCUCCCCAAGUAAAUUUAUAUUAUUAUUACUUUUAUAAUCCUCCCCUGAAUGAACUCCAAGAGGGCUGUGUAGGUAUUCAACAAGAGGAAAAUCACCCUGAAUACACAAUAAGUUCCUUUAUCUAUUCCCUCCGGGAAUGGGACUGGAGAUCUUUUUUUCAUCAGGAAGAUCCAAACCUUCCCAAAAUUCCCCAGUAGACUUUGUUACAUUCUUCUGGCAAGAAUCAGAGCCCAUGGCUACCUUGGGCUGCAAGAAUAAACCAGCUUCUGAAAAAGGGGAGUAGAGUUAUGUUUUUGGCUUGGGUGAGUCCUGAUUCAUCUCCUGUGAUCUGCACAUUAGUGUUUAAAAAUAUCAGGGGUCCUAUUAACAAUAGGAAGGGAGAAAGGGCUGUGUAGCAGCCUCUGUGUCUGUCACAGCUGAGCCCUGUGUGUAUGUGACCAGGUUUUCAUAUACAUAGGAAGGAGGGGAGGGAAGGAGGAAAGUAAAGGAGAGGAAAAGACUCAUUUGGAUUUUUCGACUUUUAUCAGGCACAUAUAUUUUAUUCUACAAUAAAUGUUAUGAAAGGGAAAUGGAGAUUAACUGUGGAAAUGUGCUAAAGUGAGGGUGAAGGGGGUGACAUUUAUUUCUCAGUUUUCAUGAUUUUCUAUUAUGAGACUCUGUCACCAUUUAACUUUUUGCAGGGACUAAGAUCAGGGGUGGUCUCUGGGGUGAUAGGAGCUCUUCUAGGGGAGCAGGAGGGCUCAGGCUGGCUCCGCGGGCCGUGGUGAUCACACAGGCUGAUCGUGCGGUGAGUCUGGAGAACAUGGAAAGCAAAGGGGAGGUACAGAGCGGGGUCAGGAAGGCCUGGAGACUUCGUCUUGGAUGAAGCAUAGAAAGUCAGAUAAAAGGCCAUUCCCAAGGGGCAGCGUGUGUGUGACCCAGCGGGAGCCACCAGCACAGCACGCAGUCCUGGGAAGAAGGGGCUCAGGGCAGAAGUGGAAUGAGCUUUGAGGAUCAAUUUGUUUCAAUUCUUUCUUGGGAGAGUCAGGGUCCGUGUGGAAUCAGCAUCCAUUCCAAACUCAUUCAUCAUCCCAGGUUCAGUUCCAGCGUUUCCCCAGCUUCGGACUAGCUACAGGACCCUGGGAGUUUCCUUCACUCACCUGCCUCAGUGUCCUGCCUAUAAACGUGGGUGCUGCUGACUCCAGCUGUCAGGCAGGGGGGUCUCGGUGGGACAGCUCCUGUGGAGCUCACGGAACACACUCUGGACCUCAGCAGCUCUUGAGUAAGCAUCGCCGUCGAUGAUGACGUUAGAUCCUGUAUUUUUCUUUGAGAAAUGGAUUUCAUUUGGGGGGCUUUAUCUGUAUAUCCAAAUGUUUAGCAAAAUCUUGGUGACCAUGUAACAGUAAUUCGGCAAACGCGUCCUGAUGAGUGGUCUCGCUGCUCCACCAGGUCUAUACCUGUGAAUUUUAAGACUCUCCUCUUGCACGCCUUCUGCAUCCAUUUCAGUGGUUCCAGAUCCUCUACAAAAUAAAGCGAGGUCUGAAACAUCUUUGAGAAUCCUUCCCUAAUUUCCCCAAUGUUGUAUAAUUUAGCAAUGCUGAAUUACAAAUAAAACAAAAAACAACUCCAAGCCUGACAUGCGGUUUGUCCUGUGUCAGUGUGUCGGGUACUAGCCCUUGUCAAUUGGUUUUCUCUACCUGGGAAAUACUUCCAUUCUCUUUGCUCAUUUGGCAAGCUCCUAUUCAUCCUUCAAAACCUUUCUUAGAUAUCAUCUUCUUAGGGAUGUCCUCCUCGGGUGUCAAUUCUUGUCGAAUACUCUACUUAAACUGCUUAUGUUAUAUCUGCACUCUGUAUUUAUGUCUAUGCCGAUUUUGUUACUUUAUUAUAAUUUGGGUGUUUUCUUUGUCUCUACUUUAAAAGUGUGCAUCAAGAUGGGAAGAGGCUCACUUAUUCAUCUCAUGCCUGUAGCAGCGAAGUCUAGUUUUGGGUGCAUCAAUAAAUAAAUGCUUGUUACUUUGUCAAGCGAGCAGAUCUUUUGUGCAGCAGUGACCCCUUGCAUGUGUAAAUUGCCACAUUACCAUAAAACAGCUCUUUGUUAAGCCUCAGAACCUAUAAGAGAGUCUUAUUUGCUAAGGAUAAAAUAACUCUUUACAGAUGCUCAAUGAUUCUUCUAGAGUUGGUUCCCACAGCUUGCCAACUGUCUCCUGGCUUCUUCUUGUUCCUUCUGGGUUCAAACACAUGAAGGGACCAAAUUUCUCACUUAAUUAUUGCUAACAAAUAAAACAUCAACUAGGCUGUUCUACAACCCAUGGCCAGAUGACUGGUGGGUGGAGAGUGAGGGGCCUUCCCGUGUGGAUGUGGGUCAUUCAGCCAUUGCUCUAUGGUCACGGUCCCAUCAGAUAUGGAAGGCUAAAGGGACUCAAGCCCCCACUUAAGAUCCCUGUUUGUGACACAUAGGCACCCCUCAUUGGCUGGGGCCACAGUAUGCUCUUGGCAAAUGGCUAAAUCAAGAUUUAAGUCACUUGAAGUUGGCCAGAGCAGGCACUGCUAAGGAGAGGACCAAGUCUCAGUGUAUGAGCAAAGGACGUUGUCCCAUCCACGGACUCACCAAGAGGUGAUGCAGGAAGUCAAGAGCUGGGGUUUCAGGAACAGGUCAGGAAAUGGCCUUCAUGUUGGUUCAAGACCAAAUCUAUGAAAAACAUCGCAAUUCCCCUCAGGUUCUUGUUGGUGCCAGAUCUGAUUGUGGGAAAGGUCAGACGAGGAGGAUGAGAGAGAACUGUCCCAGGCUCAGGCACCACUGAUGGCCUGACGUGACCAAAAGGGGGACCUUCCACUGCCUCUGCUCCCUGCCCAAAGCUGCCUGGUGGCUCUUCUGCUGAGUGUUCCCUGGAAACAUCAGCAGUCCCAAGGGCUCCGGGGGAAGAGGUGAUGCGACAGCAUUAAAGGCUUUGUCCAUCACCCUAUUGGAGUGAAAUGUGUUACUUGAAAGAAUUUUUAAAACCUAUGUAAAUCAGUCACUAUGAGAAGAUAAGAUUGGGGUGGGGGCAGGCAGAGUUGAGUCGGUGAUAAAAAUAGAGUUUUAUCUCCAUUUGGACUGAUUUUGAAAAGGUUUUUAACCAUUGCAACUGAAUCCCUUUCAGAACCCCCUCUCUCUUUUCUCUUUCGCGAGUUGCUAUGAGAACAUGAAUCAUCUCUUUAGCACAAUGACAGCAAGUGUCGCAUUUAGGAGCGGACCCUGAUUUUUCACUGUUUGUUCUUUGCUCUCGACAAGAUAAGCUGUUGUUAUUUCUUUCUUCUUGAACAAGCACACCAUGAUUGCUGAAGUGGUAAGAAUAAUUGGACCAAAUAGUCAUGCGAUUAAUGCAAACAGAGAGAAUUCAUCUGUUUCGAGUACUGUAAAUGCACUUCUGAGGACGGGAGCGCUGCGUUCUCUGUUUAUUCUUGGGCUGGAGAACAAAUGCUGCUGAGUUCCCUGCCACGGAUCCCGGAUCUGCGAUGCUUCCACAGGGUGGAGACCUUAAAUGAACUGGAUGAAGGGAGAAGAGGGCGGGGGGCAGGUUGCAUUCAGGGGGCAAGGCUGCUCCGCCCCAGGUGGCAUCCUCCUCCCCACCCUCUCCAGCUGGGGGACCCAAGGCCUUCUGCUUUCUCAGUGAUACAUUGUAAUUAAAUGGAACAGGGAUACACUUCAAUUACAUUGAAACAGAAGGGCAAUUUGAGCAUGCAAGGUGCUUCACUGGCAUUUACAUACCACAGGCCUGAGCCCGAGAAGGUUCCACCAGUGGAUGGAUAAGGACCCCAAGAUUCAGAGGUGAAUCUCCCAAACUCUUAAGGCUGGUAUGUUCAAGUGCUGGGUUCAAAUCCAAGGCUGUGUGUUUCAGUGUUGUGGUGAAAUGCACUGGGGAUAGACUGCCUGCCUUUGAAUCCUGGCCUGUCAUGUGAUGAUGGUGUGACCUUGAGCAAGGGACUUGACCUCUCGCUGCCUUAGUUUUCCCAUCUGGGGAAAAAAAACAAAAACAAAACUGAGAUAACAGUGUUUAUCUAGUGAGGCUAUUUUAAGGAUUAAAUGAGUUACAUGAAAAGAACACAGAAUCCUGCCAGGCCCAGGGAAUGUCCCCAACAGAGGCUGACCAUGCUGGGGGUUAGUCAAAGCCUAGCAGAAUACCUUCCGCCUCCCAGUGGGGUUCUCUGCUCUGCACGCAAGUGACCUGUCACACCUUGGCCAAGGUAAUCUCCCUGAAAUCCCAUGUGUUCCAGAUCCUUGAUGACUUUGGCAAUUCCGCAGUGCCUAUGGGGGAACUUGACUGUCCACCUGUGUCCUGGCCGUGCCCUCCUGGCCCACUGCUUUCCUUUGGCCCCUCUCCUCCUGCCUUGGAGUGGCCCUCUGGACAGACCCCUCAGCCCACCCCACCUCUGGCACUAAACUCACCGCCCUCCCCCACCAUGGGUCUAAAUCCUGGGUAGUUUCAAGUUCCCCAGCCCAACUCCGUGUUCUCCCAGAAAUGUCCCUUGCAACCUGAACCCACAGAGAUCAGCACCCUUCCUGGCUCUUGGAGUCCAGUGUUGGUGACCCUGUCAGUGCUUCCUACCCUCGGACCGGGCAGGGGAAGGAGCUCAGGCAGAGUUCCACAGGCGUGUGGACCUGGGCCGAUGCCACCGUCUGGAUUGACACAGGUGUUGGGAGCCUGGCGAGGUGAAGAGGUGACUGUGAAGGUGGGAAGUGGCUGUUCCUGGCUUCCCGCCACACCCCCGUCACUCCACUUCUCAGGGCCUUUCUUCUUACAGUUGGGUGGACAUUUUCACCAUUCCCCUCAUUUCCCUUCAGCCUUCUCUAAACAGAAUGGAGACUAAAUCCGAUUAAAUAGCAAAGCCCCUUGUGCAGGCUAUGGCCGGGAGGGGCUCCUCUCUCUGCUUUUGUGUCUGAGGUCAGGGGUCUGCUGUGUCGUUUGCUGUAAGUGGACAUUCCCUCCCAGGUUGGAGAAGGUGUUCGCCCCCCUGCUAGAAGUCCUAUUAGAUCCAGUUUGGCUUUGAGUUUGCCAAAGUACCAGACACGGGGGAAACAGCUCUCCUGCCCCCACACCCCCGAGGAGCAGGCUCAGCCAACACUGUUCUGCUGAGCCGCAGAACAACCCAUACAGGUGCUGACUUCCUCCCUGAGAGAGGAAAAUAGGAAGCUAGAAAAAUAGAGGAUGUCCCCAGUUUCGUAAGCUCAGUGAGAGGUGGUGGACAGCAGCUGUCCCCGGGGCCCUGCCCACACCCCUCCAGUGCACUGAACGUCCCCAGGCUGAUCUCCCAUUGCCUGCUCCUGUGUUUCUCUUCCCAGGAGCUUCUUCUAGACAAUCGAGCCCACUCUGCCUGCUUCUGACGAUCACCCUGGGCCAGAGCUGGAGGAAAGCCCCUUAUCCUUAGUGUUGAGAGUCCUUGCCUGUACUACACAAGGUCCCAGGGUCCCCAGAGGGUCAGCUCCUCGUACCUGCAGUGCCCCUCUCUUGACUUGGAGGUUUUUUUUUGGUUCACUGUAUUUUUUUCCUCCCUCCCUCCCUCCCCACUCUCCUACUGUUUCCCAGGAUUGACCUCCAGGAACAACUUGCACUGAAGCCCUUGUCCCCUGGUCCGCCUCUGAUAGUAGAUGGUGGCUGUGGUUGACUCUGAGCCACAGGCUUCACUGGGUGCCAUGCUGUGGCCGUAGCACACAAAGGAUUUCACUGGGACGGGUCGAGAGGGGGAUGGUGAACCCGCUAGGUUAGAAAUGACAGGCAGAGUUUGCUCCAGGGCUCUUCUGUGAUCGAUUGGUGGAGGGGCCCCACCCACAAGCCUCUCGGAGGAUGAGUUUGAGCCUGUGUCCAGACAGUUAGCCACGAGCAUCCUGAGAGCGUGUUGGGGAUGUGCGUGCGCUGGACCUUUACCCCUGUCCUGGGCCUCAGCCCUGCCUGCAGUGAGCUUGCAAAAGGGAACAAGGAAGGCUGUGACGUGGCACCCUGGGAGCGCUCAAACUUAAAAAGUCCGAGUAAGGAUCAGAGGGGGGGGGGAGCCCAGCGUUGAACAUCUCGGGAGCCCUGGGCUGCUGUGGAAGUGCUCCCUGGACAGGUCACUUUUCCCUUCUUUUUCUUUUCACUGAUGAAGACAUGAGGAGGGACUGCCAGGGUCUCUGUCACAGAGCUCUUCCUAGCCAGCGUGCCCUGGCCAGUGAGACUGGACCUGAAGGCCCCCCUCUCAGAACUUUCCAUUGAAAUGGGCCCAAAGAGUCCAUCUUUGUUUAAAUUGGUUGGGUUUGAGCCUUGUUUCUCUUGCAAACAAAAGCAUACCUCCCUGCCUUCCGGGGGUGCGAGGGUUGUGAGGUGCAUGCCAUUUUAUGCCCACACUCGGCCUUAUCUCACGUUGGUCUGACCUCAAGAAUUUAGUCUCUUGCCUCAUAAUGAUUAAUAGGGGUUAAAUCCUGACACUUUGAGGGGCAUUUCUGUUUUGAGGUGGGGGGAAGGCUCCUGUCCUCCUUCCAGCCCCCUCUUUUUGUUAGCACACUCAGAAAUUCUUUCAGAGGAUCCCAUUUCUCCCCUCUCUGUAUUUACCUCCUCCAGAAUGUCUCUGCCCUGUGGCUCCAGCUUGUUCCUCUCCUUCAUUGCACCCCUCCCCCCAGGCACUGUGAUUGGUUUGGUGCUGAAGAUAGAACCCAGAUUAGAGAGAGUGGGGCCUUUGCUGGGUCUCCUGGAGUGCACCAACUCUCAGCCCUCUUUCCCCACUGUGGGACCCAUACUGAUGAAGUCCAGGCACCACCAGUGACACCCUUGGUCAGGCCUGAAGCUAGACCUUUCUCAGGAUGUUCCACUGAAAUGAGCCCAACUGUUCUAUUAUUGUUUAAAUUGGUUUGGGCUAAGCCUCCUAUCUCUUGCAAACAAAAAAUAUGGAGCUAAUUCACAGGUAUAAGAAGUUUACUGAUGGUAGAUUACAUUUCUGUGUUCACAUUGAGUCUUGUAAUCUCGUGGACUUCCCUUCGGCUCAGCAAAUUGGAAACACAAACUUUUCCCUAGCAUCCUCUACCUCAUCCCACCUACAGUCCCACCAUCUCUGUCUGUGACUGUUCUCUUCCUGUCCCAAACGAAAGAAAAUGGACCUAAACAGCUUUUACAUCCUAAGCAGCUGCAUUUACUGUGGCCAUAAGAGGAUUUCCCGGGGACUUCAGCCAGACACGAGGCCUUUGUGUUCUGAAUUUACCAGUCGCUGGCAAUUUGCUAAAAUAAUCGUCUUCACAUUUGCUGUUAAUAAUCUUGCUUCAGGCGGUUACAACCAAAUGGUUGGUCACUUCCAGUAAUGACCAAUUUUUCAGGGAUUAUUGCUAAAAUGAUUAGGCAUAUCGUGAUUUCCCAGGGCAUGUGCUUUGGAGUUGAUCCAUUAGCAAAUAAAAGGCCUUCUGGGUUGAUUUAGAAAGUGGGGGCGCUCAUCUGAAGAGGUAAAUAUGUGCUAUCUCAUCUAUUUUUUUUUUCUUUAGCUGAGUCUAGGUUUUACUUUUUCCCUGUUCGUUGAUGGUUGAUUAUUUAGUUACUAGACAGACUGAUUUUUUUGUUUGCUCUAAACUUUUCACGGUAGCUGGGAAAUAUCUUAUAGCCAAUCAGUUCAAUCAGCCCCUUUUAGGAAGUAUUCAUUUAUUUCUCUUUUCCAGUACUAGGGAUGGAACCCAGGGUCCGGUGCAUGCUAGGCAAGUGCUCUACAACUGAGCUAUAUCUGCAACUCAUUUUAUUCUAUUUUGAGACAGGGUCUCGCUACAUUGAGACAUUGAGACAGGUCUUUGCUACAUUGCCCAGGCUGGCCUCAAACUUGCAAUCCUCCAUCCUCAACCUCCCGAGUAGCUGGGAUUACUGACAUGUGCCACUAAGUCUGGCUAGGAAGCAUCCAUUCCUGAGAUCCUCGUACCAGCUUAUGGCUUAGAAAUUUUGCAUAAUAUCUCACUUAAUACAACAAAGUCUUGUCACCAUUUUGCAUAGGAGUACAACGAACUCCUGAGGAUUAAUUCAAUUAUUGCAUGUCAUGCAACUAAUAAACUCAUGGUUCCUAUUUGCAUCCAGAACACAGAGCUCUCACCAAACCAGGGAGUCUACUUUGCUCAUUCUACAACACUAUCUCUGGUCCCCACUGGCACCAGGGCCCAGCAUGGCACCUGGGAGCCUAGCCAAGGGGGAGGCAGGUCAGGACACUGUCAGGUAGAGCCUGGGAAACCACAGCAGCAGCAGCAAUCCUGCUUUUCUUGUGGCUGCCUGGUUCACACCCGACGCCAGCCUGUCUGUUGCAAAUGUGAGCUCUCAGCUCCAGCUCCUAAUGCUGGAGAAACAAGAAAAGAGGAGACAGAGAAAAGGACUCUAAGGAGAGCAUUCGAGGUAGAACUUGACCUGAAAAAUACUCUUAUGUACCAAAACAGAGGGAAGAAGGUGUUUUGACAUUGCAUGUGUAGAGGCGUUUUAUCGAACAUAUCCGAAGGCCUUUAUCUAGAAGUGGGGAAGAGUCACAUCAUGAUUCUUUGGCAUUGCAUGAAUGCAUGCAAGAACAGAUUGUACACAGGUGCGAGAGUAUUAGGAAGCAAUAAACAAAGGUGGGGAGGGCGAGGGAGGGAGGGAGGGAGGGAGGGAGGGAGAGACUGAGAUUGUCUGGUAUUUAAAAAUUGAACAUCGGUUGGGUCAAAGCUGGGCAUUCUCUGCAAUUUAGGAUUUUCCUCGGUUGCCAGGAAGCAGUAGCCAUUCAAGUAUGGGUCAACAUGAACUCUAGGAGGAAAUCCAAACAUGACACAUUAGUGAAAGGGAAGAAGAUCCCAACUGGCUCCAGCAGACAGGUUUCCAGCCACACUGGGCAAAUACUUCUUCAGUAAGUUAGCUGCAGGCUUUGGCAGCCAAGAGCAGAACCACACUGCACUUUUCCAGGUGCUAUAUUGUUGAAAAGUUUUCCUGUCUGUAUCUUUCAGUUCUGUUUUUAUUUUUUGUGACAAAGCUACUGUAUGUUUGCUUCAGAAGUUAAGAAAGCACAGGACCCUUUCCUAACUUGAUAAAGAUUGUCCAGCAAAAGGCAACCUCAAAUGUCAACCUUAAUAGUAAAAGGGCAGAGGCAUUUCAAUUGAAGCCCUUAGGUGAUCUUAAAAAGCUGACCUAUCAAUACUUACAUUAAGUAUUAGUAAAUUGUAUUUAGUAAAUCGUUUAUGGCAUGAGCUGGGCCAGGUGCUCAACUCUGGCUGCUUGGGAGGGGUCAGUACUGCUCACAAUGUGUUGGCAGAACUAGUUACAGGGGGCUGAAAGGGAACCUUUUGUACCUGGAAAGGAGACGAGAACUGGAUACAGGUGAAUGGAAAUGUGUUACUUCUGGAACAAGAUGGGUGGGAUCCUUCAUUGUGCUCCUCCUCUGCUGGUGGUGACCCCGAAACCUUGUGUUUCAUAGGGUUUAGUAAACAAGAUGGUGGAGUUUCUAUCAGCCUGAGUCCCUGAAUGACAGUGUGGGAUGGAGUCCUCAUUAACCGGGAUUGAGAAUCUUUGUGAAGUUAAACAUUGAAAUUUCAUGGUUAAUUUGACAAUUUUUUUAAACAACCUAGCCUUUCCUAAGACAGAUGAUUCUGCUGUCUCAGAGAAUUUCUUUGGGACUUUCAAAGGAGGAAUACGUGAAACCAAGACAUCCCUGAUACAUGCAGCCCCUAUCCUUCUGGUCAUGUCUGAUACACCAGGACCCAAAUGCCAGAAUAGAAAGAGAUCCAGAGAUGUUCCAUUUUGCAUAGUAGCUAUUUACUACCUCGGAUCUAAAUCAAAGGAAGAAGGAGAAAGAAAAGAAGUGACAAAAUAUUUGUUUCUACUCCAGAAUGAAAAAAGAAAGUUAUUUAUAGGUAAUCCAGGGGAUCACCAUAAGGACAUAAAUGUCAAGAUAAGGGCUUUGCCUACAUCUGCCUCCUCGCUGGCUGAUUGGGUCACUUGUAUGAUGAUGCUCUUGGUCGUCCCCUUGUGUCCUGCUCACCCCAAGUCAGAGACUCCCAAGGUGCUCUGAUACAGUAGUAAAUAAGUCUAUUCCAGUCAGAAAAGACCUCUGUAGGCAGAUGGUGACCAGGAGAUACUUCCAAGGAGUGAUGGCAAGUACCCUGAUGCAGAAUGACUUACUGAAUCAGAAACUCAAGGGCCAGGGCUGAGGAGGCUUCCUGUGAAUCAGUUUCAUAGUAACAUUGUAUCCACCAAAGUUUGAAAUAACCACUCCAAGUCCUCCAUCUGGCUGACAUGUCUGUUUUGACUUCUGGAUCUAUUCUGGUGUCUUGACCAGAUUAUCAACAGAUGUGGUGUGUCGUUCUUUGCUCCUCAGCCACCAGAGCUUCUAAAGGAAACAAAGAAACACAGUUUUCACCACGAGCAAAGGGGUCCGGUAGACCUGCCUAGUCCCAGAGGUGCUGGUUUGCCUGUUAUGCAGCCAGAUAAACCACAUCCCGCUCCUAGACCAGGUUCCCACAGGCGUGGGGGUGGCUGAAGAGGGUGAGUCACGCAGGCAGCGGGCCAUCCUGCCUGGGUUCACAUGCACCGAGAUGACUGCCUCUCUCUCCCCGUGCACCUGCUUCCAAACCUCAGGCUGGGAUUUGACUUGGGCUCCAACCACGCAGAAAGCCCAGGUUUCGUCACCUCUUCUGUCCUUUGUGGAAGGUAGGGCCUUCCGUCGUCACCCAAGACAUGCCAGAGAUUCCGAGACUUGGUCUGAAAGGAUGUCUGAAGGUGGGAUUUGUGUCCGAGUCAGAGGUUGAUCCGAAUCCUACAGAGCUUGCCAAGUGAGUCAGUUGGGUCUGUGUCAUAACAGACUUUCAGAAGUUAAGUAAAAGUAAAACUAUUUCCUAAGGGAUGGAAGACCUUUUCAGAUCUCGCUCACCUCCCGCCACACUGAAAACAAAACUGACCUGGAUGAGAGCACCACGAACUACAAAGCCUGGACAGGUUUCAGGAAUCGCCACUGGCUCAAGAAGUGUCCUCAUGGGUUCUCCCGCUUGUUCUCCAAACUCAUCCCAUGAGACAGCAGGGCAGGGACGAUCCUGGCCGUGCAGAGGAGGGUCUGGGGUACGAAUGGAGCCAGCAGUCGGCCUGAGGGACGCGAGAUCCCGCUCUGCUCUCCUGACGCGGAGCACUACCGUUUUCCUCGUGAAGACGCAGAGACUCAUACUGAGAUCCUGGCUCUGUUGCUUCAUGGUUCCCCAUCUCUGGGACGUUUCCUCACCUCUCUGGGUCCCCCGUGUUUGCUUGUAUAAAUGACUAUGAUAUCUUCCUCAUGGAAUGAUUGGGUGGUCAGAUGAGAUUUUUCAUAGUACCCAGCAGAGCAGAUGUUCAGAACCUCUGGGUUCUUUGUUCUCGCCACAUAUGCUCAGGGCGUCUAGUCUGUUCCAGAACUAGAUGAGGCCCGAGGGACAGAGGAGUGAACAGAAUGCACAGGAUCCCUGCUCUCAAGGGGCUCGCUGUUUAUCGCCCCUGUCCCUUGAGCAAGGAGACCAAGAGCCUUUGUGACCCGACUCCUGAGCCUCUCUGUAAGCACACCCAGGACCACUCCCAUUCUUUCUCUGUUCAUCCCCAGGCCUCCUUUCUGCUUCUAGAACACACCAACCUCACCCCACCCCAGGAUAGCCACCCUGCUGGUCUCCCUACCCUGCUCUCCACGUGGCUGUCCCUAGUCCUUCAAGUCCCACACUAAAUAGCCCUUCUUAUCCUCUUAGCAUCUGUCGUGGUUCACACAGGGACUGUCCCCCCAAACCUCCUGUGUCGAAGGUGUAGAGCAGCGUUCAGAGGUGGGACUUUGGGGAGGAAGGAGAUGGGAUCAUGAGGGCUUUGGCGUCCUCAGUGGAUUACCCCACGGACAUCCACUGAUGGGUUCCCAGGUUAACGGGGGACUGAGAGACGGUGGAAACUCGAGGACAGGUGCCCUGUUUGGAGGAAGCAGGUCACUGGCAGUGUGCCUUUGAAGGGUAUAUUUUGUUUCCAGCCCCUGAGGUGAGCAAUUCUGUUCCACCAUGUGCUCCCACCAUGAUGUUCAGCCUCAGCACAGAACUAAAAGCAAUGGAGCCAGCCAAACAUGGCCUGAAACCUCUGAAACCAUGUGACUAAAAUAAAUCUUUCCUCCUAUAAUUUGAUUUUUCUCAGGUAUUUUGACACAGUGAUGGUAAACUAACCAAAACAUGCCUUUCCUUCAGAUGACUGGCUGCAAUUUAUAGUUACCCUUUGAUCUCUUUGCAUAUUCAUUUGAUUUUUGACUCACACAAAGCCACGAAUUCCACAUUAUAUAUAUUUGCCACCCUAGCACAGGACCUGGCACACAUUAUAGACUCAGAAUAGAAAUGCAAAGAAAGUAAAUAUAUUACUAAAUAAAGGAAUGUGCCCUCAAACAAUUCAAAAAAUGAAUUAUUUAAAUUUUAUUUAUGUAUGCCAUAAAUAGUAGAAAACUAUACCUUUUAAGUGGUUCUUUAGCAAAAUUAAACAUAAGAGACACUUAUUCAUUCAUUUAACCAGAGUUGUGAUGGCAUGCAGUCUAAGAAACUUAAAAUUCACUAUUUCCCCUUGACAAGUCCAAGGUAGACAUCACUAAUCAAAUCUGGCUUCUUUUCCCCUGUUGAACGGAGACACAGUUUUCUCAGUACAUGUCACAUAGACACUGUCAAUUGAUUGCCGUGGGCCUAGAAGAUCCUUCACACCAAACCUCAGACCACUGUAGUUGCUAGUAGUCCCUGCUCAGCAUUCUUCUUAUGCCCAGCCCACCCUGAUCCCCAGGCAACCUCCUGACCCACAAACUUCCUUAGUCAUAAGGUCAUCCUUGUUGUGGGAAUGAAUCUUGAUUCCCAAAAUGUGCAUCACAGAAAAGUUGCUGGGAUAGAUAAUACAGGCUUGAGUUGGGCAUGGUGGUGCACGCCUAUAAUCCCAGCCAUUCUGAAGGCUGAGGCAGGAGGAUCUCCAGUUCAAAGCCAGCCUCAGCAACUUAGCUAGGCCCUAAGCAACUUAGUGAGACACUGUCUCCAAGGAAUAAGAAAUUAUGGGGAUGUGGCUCAGUGAUAAAGCACCCUUGGGUUCAAUCUCCAGUGCCACAAAGAAAAAGAACGGGGGAGAGAGAGAGAAAGAGAGAGAGACGGAGAGAGAGAGAGAGAGAAUGGAUGCUGGCUUCUACAACUGAUACCUGUCUCCUUUCCCCAUUUGCUUUUAUUUCCAAGUGUACCAGUAAGAGAUGAAGGUUUUCUCUCAGUCCUUUUGGAAAUUGAGAAACUUUGUGCAUAAAUCCCAGGCCUCCUGUCAGCUCUGCAAACACUCCACUGCCAACUAGAACACAGGGAGCAGCUUUGGAGAUUUCUCUCCCCAGGGUUGUGCUAAACCUGCAUCUUCCUUUCAACAUGAUUUCUUUGCUGCAGACCUUCCAAACUGUCUUCUUUGUGCAACUUUCCAGCUGACAGCAAAUCAGUGAUUUCUUAUGUUUCGUGAAACCUGAUUUCCCUGCAACCCCAAGCCACUGUUCCUAUCCACCGGCUCAGUCUUUGGCCUUCCUUUAGAGCAGUCAUUUUUGACUAGGGUGGAUUUUUGCCUUCUGGGUGCUGUUUGGUUGUCACAGGGGGCAGGGGAUGGGGGCACACUGUCAUUUAGCAGGCAGAAUUAGGAAUGGUAUUAAACACCCACAAUGCACAGGGCAACCACCCAACCAAGACUUACCUGGCUCCAAAAUUCUGCAGAGCUGAGGUUGACAAACCUUGUUCUAGAGUGGUACCAAAGCCCCUCCUGACAUUUCAAGGUGUCCCUAGAAAUCUUAUUGGGAUUGGCAUAAUCCAUAAACACAGCCAUUUCUUUUCCAUUCUCUGGCUCCGGCAAGCAUGGGGUCAUCAGGGGAUGUGGAUACAGUCCAUCAAGCACGUCUGUCUUUUCAUCUGGGUAGGUAUGAUGAUGUCGCCUUAGGGAGCGUAAAUUGAGAAGUCAGAAGGUGCAGGUACUGACCCACCUGGUACCUCCCCAGUCAGGCUUCCCCUCGGGAGUGGUUCUGGCUGCUUGUGAUUCCCAUUCUUCAAGGUUAUUCUCCAGCACCGUCUCUGCAACACCAGGGUCUCUGUGCAUGAGUGUUUCUUCUUCCCUCACUUUGUCCAUGUGGUCAUUGCCUUGGGAACCUCUGCUACCCCCAGCUCCAAAUUUGUGGGGAGUGAAUAGAAUUUCUUGUCACCGUUUGUUUAUGCUGUGAAUACUCUUGGCCCUGCCUCCAGCUUGUACCUGGGGGCUUCCAUUUACAAACUGUGAGUCCCUUGGCAAGAGGGCAGGAGAGCUGCGAGACUCCUGGACUUUCAAGGAUGAUGGUCACAUCUAGGCUCAGGGACUCUUGGAGCACAUUGCUUCUGACCAUAGGAACCAACAAGAGCCUUUGCAUGGGCCCCAUCAGGACCAGAGAGAUCAUAUCAUCUUCUACCUAUGGGACAGGAGCAGAAUUUCAGGAAGAUCCAUGGAAAAUCACUGGACCUGUGUUGUGGACACAUCAGAGCCCAUCUCCACACCUUUUUACUUGAGGCAAGUUUACCAGGUACAUAUUGCUGGCUCCUGAGAUCCAUUAGACCCAUUUUCAGAUUUUUCUUUUAUCAAAUUUUAGAUUUUAUUCAAUGUUUUUGGGCUUGGAAUAUUUAUGAGAAAUAAUUUUGUUUAAAUAUAUUUACAUGUCAGUUACAAAAUGGACAUCUUGGAACUACAGUGAUUUUUUUAUAAUAAUUUAUAGUGGACUUCAGAAAUGUUUUAUUGACGUAUAACAAACACUCAGAGAAGAGCACAAAUCAGAAGUGCAUGUCACAUAGACUUUAAACUCAAAGAAUCUAAUAAGACCCACAACCCAGAUCCAAAAUAGAUAGUCACAAGAAGGACAAUAUCUCUAUAUAUCAUGUUAUAAGUCACUUUGUGACUUUUCACUAGCUCAAUGCUAUCUUUGCAUGAACAGACAUUCUUUUUUUUUUAAUGCUGGCCAAUUUGUCAACAAUAUUUCCUAAGAUUCAUGAUGUUUUUGUCCAGUUUAUUAUCCUAUAUUAAAGUCAUAAAAUGCACUUUCACUAUAUUUUAGAAACUUGACUAUUUUAAUUUUUACAUAUUGUUGUCAAUCCACAAGGAACUGAUAUUUCUGUAUAGCAAACAUUGGAAUUAAGCCAGUUUUUCAAUUAAUUGAUCAAGCUCCAUAUGUUGAACAAAUCAAUAUGUUGAACAAAACAUUUACCCACUGCAUUUCAGUAUCAUUUAUAUAUCAUUUAAAACAAGUGAUUACAUGUAUAUGAAUCAGUUUCUUUACUUUCUAUUAUGCUUCAUUAGGCUAACUGGGUCUUUUGCAUUUCAUAUAAAUUAUAGAGUUGGUCAAUUUCCACAAAUACCUAUUGAUAUUUUGAUUGGAAUUUAUUGAAUCUACAAAUCAGUUUGAAGUGAAUUAAUAUCCUUACAUCUUUUUUUAUUUUCAAUCUCAUAUUAUAGAUACAUCUCUUGGUAGCCCUAUAAAAAUUUUCCCAGUUUGAUAAUCUUUGUAUUUUAAUUGGGAUAUUAGGCCAUUUAUAUUUCUUGUAAUUACUGACAUGUAUUUACAUCAUCUAUGAGCUAAUAUAUAAUGUAUUAGCUAAUUCUAAUACAAUGUUUAAUAGAAGUGGAGAAAGCAGAUAUCCUUGUCUUAUUCUUGAUCUUAGAGGAAAAAACUUUAGUCUUUAUGUAUGAUGAUUUUUUGAUACACUUUAUUAUGAGGUUUUUUUGAUACACUUUAUUAUGUUGAGGACAUCUGUUUCUGUUCUUAAUUUAUUGAACAGUUUCUUACAAAUUUUUCCUGGACAGGUAUUGAAUUUUGCCAGAUGCUUUUUGUGUUUCAGUUGAAAAGAUUUUGUUUUUUCUUCAUUCUAUUAAUAUGGCAUGUUGCAUUCAUUGAUAUUUGUAUAUUGAACUACCCUUGUCUUCCUGGGAUAGAUCACAGUGCGUAAUUCUUUUAACAUGAGGCUGGAUUUGAAAUCUGUGAGUAUUUCGUUGAGGCUUCUUUAUUAUUGGCUUUUAGCAGAUUUACUAUGAUAUACUGCUUGGGUUUUUGUUUGUUUUGUUUCUUGUAAAUGUGGUUUUAAAGUCUUUCAUCAACUUUGGCAAAUGCUUAGCUUUUGUUCCUUCCAGUAUUUCUUCUAAGCCUUUCUCUUUCUCGUCUCCCUGUUUGUCUCAGUUAUACACAUAUUAGACCUACGUCCUGUGCCUUACGUGUUGUUUGCUCUCAUCUAUGUGUUUUAAUCUCUUAUUCUCCAUCUGCUUCAGAGAUUUUCUUGUAACUUCCAGUUCCCCCAGCUGCCCCCAAUUCUUUGUGUCUAAACUGCUGUUAAACCCAGCAGCCAAGUUCUUGGUUUCAGCAAUUAUAAUUUUUAGUCCUCGAAUUUCCAUUUUAAUUAUAUAUAUUUCAGUUCUUUUGCAAAACUUUCUUUCCUGUCAUGAUGAUGUUAAUAUCUGUGUCUGAUAACUUUAGGGUUUGCCUCCUGUGUUCUUUUCCUUCUUUCAGUUUUUGUUGUUGUUGUUUAGUCCCGACUCUUAUUAGCCCUGGUGACCUUUCACUGAGUGCUAGAAACAGACUUCGUAUUCAAACAGUAUCUGAAGGUGUGCACGAGCCUUCAGCCCCUGGCAGGCAGUUGGAGCAGGACUGAGCUGCUCUUUCCAGCUGGAACUCAGCUUCCGGAAGAUUCCGUGUGUCCCCCUGUACCUUAAAUCAAGAGUGUUGUUUGUUCUUUCAGCAUCCUGAUGAGUUUACCUCUGCUUGGCCUCUUUGUUGGAAGCGAAACUCCACAUUUCAUCUCCCUAGGACCAUGAGACACCUAAAGCUCUAUUUGCCUCUUUAGCCUACAGACUGUUCUUUCUUCUUGGUCUGUGCAGUUUUUGGACUGGUGCAGGGACCCAGCUUGACAUCACUACGACCAUAGUGGUUGUGAGCAUCAUUCUGCCCACAAGGUGACCCUGCCAUGCAUCAAAAACCCUACAGGACAAACAAAGUCGGCUAAGCCUGGCACAAUCGUGGCAGAUGCCUGUAAGCCCAGCUACUCAGGAGACUAAGGCAGAAGGAUCACGAGUUUGAGGCAGCCUGGGAAACUUAGCAAAACCCUGACUCAAAAUAGAAAAAAGGCUGGGGUGUAGCUCAGUGGUGGAGUGUUUCAAAGCCCUGGGUGCAAUCCCCAGUGUCCCCCACCCCACAGAUUGUCAUCCCCUCUCUCUCUCUCUGUCUCUCUCUGUCUCUGUCUCUCUCUCUCUCUCUCUCUCUCUCUCUCUCUCUCUCUCUCACACACACACACACACACACACACACUGCGAGGCCACAGUUGUCCAGACUGGUUCUUAAUAGAUAUUGCAUAUGGGAGUAGUUUUGGGGAAAAGUCAGGUACAUUCUAAUUGGCCACAGCACACCUGUGUCUAUCUUAAUAUAUAAGCCCUUCCUCUCCCUUGGGGUGUGAGGACCCACCUGUUGUGGCUCUGAAACACACUUCUGAUCAUAAGUCCCAGUGCGUCCACUCUGCAGUCCUGGCUCUCUCUGCCUCUGUCCUUGCAUCUCACGGCAGCUUGCUUCUGGUUCCCAUACCCAGGACAAUUGGCAAAGGCGGGCUGGGGCUCAGAAUCUCAGAGUUUCAGGCCUUUCCAUCUCUGUUCACAAGACCUGAGCCCCUCCAGCCUGGGCUAUCUCAGAAGACGACCCUUGACUUUCUCCCCCUCGUGCCCUAAGCCUGUCCGAGCACCAGCCAGCUUCUUGGCUUCUGCCUGUGGACCACUGCUUGGCUUCCUGCUGUCUGCCCCGGAUUCUUGCAAAUUGGUAACUGCCCCAAAGGAAAACGCUUGCCUAGGAGGCCACGGCAGGGCAGGGAGUUUCUCUUCUCCCCGGGGCUGGGGGCCCUCGUUGUUUCGGCUGCUUUGAGGCUCUUUGUGGUGUUUGGGUUCUGGUCGUCCUCCGGGAGGGGUCUGCUUGCUGUGGGUUUCUCGGCUAUUACUCCAAGCAGAGCCCCACACUGCUCUGGACUGUGAGCCCCCACACAGGAGAGGACUGGCCAGGGCAAAGCGUACGCCAGGGAAGCUUCCUGGGUCCUGCCUCCGAGGGGACCCUCCUUCAGGUCCUUAUCACACCUUCCUUCCUGCCACUCUCCCUUCCUCCAGAUGCUCUGUUUUCCAAUAAGGACCCUCCUGCCUUUCACCCAGAAAAAUCAGUGUUUCACUGAAAGUAUAAAGUAAUAGGGAGUGGUAACGUUCCCGAUAUAAACUCCUUAUCUAUUAGGCAUCCACCCAAAAGUGUUUAGAGAUGGAAUCCUGAAAACUUAAAAUCUGCUUUAAAAUAAUCCUGCAAGGGGUUCGUUACUCAAGGUGAUUAAGUAUGCCCAAAAUAAAAAAUGAAAAAAAUUAGGUAUGAAAAAUCACAACUAUGAAAAAAAUUACACCGACUUGCUAUAGAAUAAAAAUCAGAAAGAACUCCGAGGCCUUUGUACAAAUCAUGCCUACUCCUCCCAGCCCGGGGUCCUGCCAAGCUCUCUGGGGUUCCUUGUAAGUGCCAUUGGUCUUACGUGCUGUCAUUUCCUGUCUAAUAUCCUUUGACAAAAUCAGCCCUCAUUGUCCUCUUUCUUGUUCAAUGACAAUGCUCAAAAGAGUUUAAAUGGGAGUUCAUAAGCCAUUGGAGGGACAACAGAGCCCCCUGAGGAAUUUUCUAAACCACCACUUUCCAUAGAGGUACAAAUAAGCAAUAAGGCUUUCCAUCAUGUUCUGGAACCACGGCCAUCAACACCAGGACCAGCCUUCACCCAGUGGCCCGUGCAGGCUGCUAUGUGACUUACCAAGUUACUGGAGUGACUCCGUGCCAUGAUUAUUGAUAUAUAUUUGUCGUCCCUUUCAAAGGUGGGGGGAUUGAGGCUGAGCAACUCGGCGUAGCUGCAGGCAAGCACAGUGAGUUACCUCUGACUAAACCGGGGCCUGAACCUCAGGUGUCUGACACCAGACUUGCCCUGACCGGGAGAGUGGUUCUCUCCUUGCACGUGCAUCCGAGUCCCCCAGAGGGCCGGUUAAAACCCGUGCUGCCGAGCUCCACCCUCAGCAUUCCCAAUUCAGUCUUUGGCAGGGCCCAAGACUGUUUUUUAAUAAGUUCCCAGGUGAUGUUGAUGCCUCAGUCCAGGGGCCACGCUUUGAGGAACAUGAACUAGGGUGGAUUGUCUGAGGGCAAAUAGCAAUCUCAGUAGUGGUCCUCUGGGCCUGGGGAGAGGCUCUGCUGUCUUGGGGGUGGAACAAAUGACCCAUGGCUUUGGGUGUCUUUGUUUGGCACUGGCCCUCUGGUAAUGGCUGUGAUCAGGACACUGGACCUGCCCUGGGCCUGGAGUGCACUUGGAGUCUGCUGUGUGGGCUGGCAACAGAAGGCCACCUUCGCCUUCAGCAUCAGCUUGGAUGGUCUCUGUCUCGGGGGCAACUUGAUGAUAGGUCCUUUAACAUCUCUCGGGGCUGCACUAGUGAAUCUAUUAGGCCCCUUCUUGGAAGGGCCCCAAAUACAUCAGAGAAAACUUGUGAAUCUCUGCUCCUUUCCCAGCUCCACCUCGUGUCCUGGUUCACUCCCUCUCUUCCGCGGCUGGUCUGCAAGGUGCUUACAACCUGGCUGGGAGUGCUGCACUCAGCCAAGCCCUCUGUGUCCAGGAGGGGGAAUUAGUUUCUGGUGAUAGAUGGGCUUAGUGGCCAUGGGACCUUACCGCCCAGCACUUAAGAACCUGCCUGCCUUCUAAUCCAGCCAUUGUGCUUUGAGCUGGAUGGCCUCCCCAGUGCCAUGGUUUCCUCAUUCAACAAUUCAGAUGAUGAUACUCUGUAUUCCACAGUUGCCUGGAGUGUUGAAUGACUUAUCAUAGGCACGGCGCUUCCUAAGCCGUCCAGCACAGACUAAGAGCAAAGAAAGUGACAAAGAGUUCCUUCCAUAUUCAUGAAGGACGGCAGGAGCCUGGACACUGCAUGAAGGUGGGCCUGAGGGCUGGAGCAUGAUGGGGUGUGCGUUAUGCCCAGGCCUGGGGAUUUGGGUGGGAACUGUCUCGGUGGAAGGAAUGGGGAAAACAAAGCCAUAAUGUGGCCCAGGCAGGAAGUGGGGAGGGAGAGCUUCUAGCCAGGAACUUCUUGCCUGUCCCGUGAGCCUCUCUUCUACCCACAGCUCAUGCUGGCCUGGGAAUCUGAGGAUGUCUCACCUUCCUUCCAAGGCAAGAGCUUUCCAACACAUGACACCUGUCUUGCCUUCCCUGGGCUUCCUCCUCUAACAUUUGGGGUGCUUUUCCUGAUCCACUGCAAAACCACCACUUCUUUCAUACAACAUUCGGUUUGAGAGCUUCUUGUGCCCUUUUAUAAUGGUGGUGUGUGUGUUGGGGGUGGGGUAGGAUAUUCUUGUCUCCUUGUUGAGCCAAUUUUCUCCACGUUCGUGAUGAGAUUUAUCCAUCUCUAUUUUCUCAGAGUGGAGUCAGGGUGGACCCAGGGUGGAGAUUUGGUAGAGGUCAGCUGAACAUAUAAUGGACAAUGAAUGGGCAGAGGAAUGAAGGGAUAAGAGAAGAAAAUAUUUCCCAACUAGAGGGAAGUCCAGGGCACAGUGAAAACAGUUGCUACAGAGCCUUGAUUCUCAACAUGUGGUCCGGGGACUGGUAGCAUCUGUCUCGUCUGGAAGCAUGAGAAAUGCAUGACCUCAGGUCCCACCUCAGACCCACUGAAUCAGAGUCUGCAUUUUAACAAGAACCUGGUGGUCCAUGCACACUACAGAUGGAGAAGACUGGCCUUCUGGUUACAAAAGCCCGGGAGACUGGACUUAAAUUCUGGGUCUGUGCUUUCCCCAGCUGCGAGGGCUUCCUGCCGAAGAGCCCUUGUUUCCACAUCUGUCAAAUGGACGUGAUGGUGGAGGCUACUCCUGGGCCUCAUUGUGAGGAUCAAACAUGAACCACAGAUGUGAAGUGUCUUGCACAAUGUGCUUGGCGAAUGGAAAGGGCUUAAUACAUAUCAGCAGCUCUUAUUAUCUCUGUCCCUCCCACUGCCCAAGAGGCGAAGAAGAAAGAAAGAGCAACCUGCUGAGGCUCUAGGCAGACUCUGUGCCCUGGGGUUUCCACACCUGGAGCUGAUGGUGGGUCUGGCUGGCCUCUGGGCUGUUCCUUCCUGCCUGGGGCUCCCUCCGAGGGGCACUGCUGACGUGAGCGGCGUGGCCUUUCCCUCAGCUGUCAGCCACAAGCCCCAAGCUUCCUGGAGCUGAGGACACCAGCCAGACAGAGAGAACCACCCUUUCCCUGGAGCUGAGUCAUGUUAUCUCUAUUCAGACUGGAUCAGGGCAGGUGGGAAGCUUACAGGCCAGCAGAGAUGCCCCAGGCCAGGGAUUGGGUGACACACUGGCGCGUGAGUCACUCUUAUUACAUAAGGGCAGAUCAAGAGUAUUCAAAUGCCACACAAGCCCAAAUCUGUCCCCACGGACUGAGAGGGGGUGUCGGGAAGGAAACCGGUCUACAGACACGUCCUGGGAUCUCUGUGCCCAUGGACAGUAUCUUCUUUAUCAGAGGUAGCAGCGGCCGUCUUGAUGUGGUUAUAAUUUGAAACAGACAUAAAAAUUCCUUUUACAAGACCAAGGAAAAACUGUGGGUAAAUUUAACAAAGAGAUGGAGACGAAUUAGCACCCAAACACAGGAGGUAGAGACAUGCAGCAACUCUUUCCUAAAUGCUGCAUGAAAAAGAAAAAUGUGGAGUCAAAUAAGAAAGCAAUUUAAUAGAGGGAAUGCAUUUAUUUAAAGAAAAUGGAAAUAAAGCUUUUAUACUGAUUGAGUUAACAAACAUCUUCCUCUGAUGUAAAUUUUUGAGGCUCCUGAACUGGGCAGGGAUUGAGACCCAUGGUCCCACCAACAGGCAGGGAGCUACAGCAGCAUUCUGGAGGCAAGCUGGCCCUGAAAAGACUGGGGACACUGGACCUUCUAGGUUUGUGCCCACUACACUCUGGAAUAACCAGUGUAUUUAUGAAGAGGGCCACCAUUGCUGAAUUAUUACUUACAAUAGGGAAAUUUUGAGAACACCUGAUAAAUUCAACUGGGUGCUUUGGUUUGUAAGUGAUAACUAUUAGCUGUGCCCCUGUGGGAGACUUGGAAAUCCUUGGAGCCAUAGAAAAUGCUACUGAGAAGGUGCUGGGUUAAAUUCUAAAGCAGAGGCAAGAUUCCUUUUUAAGCUUUAGGGUAAAAGCUGUGUUAACAACAACAAAAGGUGCCUUUACUUUGAAAAAAUAUCAAACUGUAAAAGACUUGAAUGAAACAUAAAUCUAUUACCAGUGGUUAUUGGAAUUCAGUAAAGAUUUCCCCCUUUGAGAUAAAGUUUUUAAACUUUCCUUGUUAGCAUUAUUUUUAUAAUAUAAAUGUGUAAAUACAUAUAUGUGUAAUACAUAAAUGUAUGUGUAAAUAUAUAUAAUUUAGUCAAUAUAUAUGCACCUAUAAAUAUCUAUCUGUCUGCCUCUAUAAGAUCAGUGUGGGUGGCAUAUGCCUAUAAUCCUAGCUAUUUGGGAGGCUGAGGCAGGAGGCUGAGGCUGAUUGCAAAUUUAAGUUCUUCCUGAGAAAUAUAAUGAAACUCUCUCAAAAUUUUAUAAAGGGUAGGGGUAGCUCAGUGGUAGAGCACCCUGCAUUCAAUUCUUAGUACCACAGGUACACACACUUUCUCUCUGUCUCUCUCUGUGUAUGCAUACACACACACACACACACACAUACAUACAUAAAUAUAUAUGUAUACAUAUAUAAACAAUAUAUGAUAUAUAAUAUGAAUACUCUGAUAGGUAUUAAACUGUAAGAUUAAAUUUGAAGGCCGAGGACUCUGGCUAGUAGUUUAUGUCCAUACAUCUUAUUUUCUUUUAUGUGUACGUGCAAAUGGUGGUCAGCAAAUAAAGAUUAAUAAUAUUCAACUUUAGCACUUAAGCCUAGUGAACUUUAGAAGAAAACUUGUAUGGGUGUGUAUCCUGUGCUGUAUCAAUCCCCAUGCACUGGAUAUUUCUGUGUAGGGAAUACUGACUGAUUUCCUCAUUGCUGGCCUCACCAGGCAACAGUUCUGUGUGGUGGUUACAGGUACUUUGACCUUAAAGUGGUUGAAUCAGGUGGCCACAGAAUUGGUACCCAUUCCCUUUUAUCUUUCCCCCCACACUGUCCAUAAAUGUCAGUGGCCUGGGUUCUUCUGGGUCAUAGAAUGUGCACAUCAGGUCCAAGGAACAAACUCUUUGGCAUUCCCAACCCCAACACAAUUGUGGAAUUCCAAGUCUCCCUGAAUGUCAAUAGGUCUGUGUUCCUACAACCAAAAAUGUAAAAGGGAGCAUCCCUAUUACCUCUCACAUAAUCUCCAGAAAUUUAUUUUAGGUAAAAUCUGACUGUAAUUAGAAGAGAAUGAGCAAAACCAGACACCAAUGUCCUGAUACAUCAACCUGGCUCGUCUUAUGAUUCAGCCAAACAGGGGGCUUCUGAACACAUGCAUAAAUCAGGAGGCACAGAGCCCUUUCCAAGCUCCGGCCCACCAGAAGAAGUAUAGCCAUGCCCAUCUUACAAAGGCCCAUCUCUUCUCCUCCUGGUGUCCCCUAGGCAGGGAUCAGCAAACCAUUAUCUAUCUAUAUACCUACCUACCUACCUACCUACCAUCUCUCUCUUUAUUUUUGAUAAAAUGUUUGGAAUUAGUCAUAUAAAUAUGUAAGCUGCCUUUUGACUUUAAUUUUGCCCAGAAUAUUUACUCUCUGGCUCUUUAAGGAAGUAUUUCCUGAGGGUUUGCAUUGUUCCCACCCCAGUCCCUGGCUAUUUCCCGUCUGAGGUCCUGUGCAGUUCUUAUUGGUACCCCUGGCCCACUCUGGUUCUCCCCACACUUCUUUCUGUACAAGCAUGCAAAAUACAAACCAGAGUAUGAAUUUCCCUUGUGGAGAAGCUUCUGAUGGUUGCUCACUGCUCAAAUGAAAGUCAAGCCCUGCGUUGCUCUUCCAGCCCAGAGCCCUGCCUGCCUCUGCCCUCACCAGCCCUGGCUCUGUUGUCCCUGUGCCCAACCUUUCUCUUCCCUCUGACACAGAGCCUUUAAACAUGGCCCUAGAAUAUAAGCCUUGUGAAGGCAGGGACCUGGUCUUGGUAACAUUCCCCAAGAUGGUGCCUGGUGCUUGAUAGGCAUUCAACACAUACUUAUUGAAUAAAAGCAAAUGACCUUGAAUUUUCACAGCAAACUUUUGAAGUAGGAUUUAAAAAAAAAAAGUGCAGAUAAAUAAAAAGAGGCUCAGCAGAGAGGGGAAUACAGGAAGUGGUAGAAACAGAUUGGAAUGAGAGCUCAGAGCUUUCUGACAUCUUGCUCCAGGGAGUGCUUCAUUCCAACACCAAAGUGAUCCUUUGCUACACCACCCACCACCAGUCACUAGAUCUUUAAACAUGAGAUCUUCUUACAGAGGAAACACCUUGGUCCUUGUGCCAGAGUGGCCUCUGCAUAUCCUGACUGCAGGCUGCCGAGUGGUGCCACAUGACUGAAGGUUUGCCUGCAAUGUGCUGUAAUCCCUGAAAGCUGGGGUCUGCUUUGAGCCUGAGAACCCUGCUUUCCUGCUAGAAACUUCCCAUGUAGAGGGAGUCAAAUACCCCUUGUCCAUCCUUGAAGCACAAGGCCACUCCUCCACUGCAAGUUUGACUUCUGCUCAUGUCCAAAUGCCUCCUUGGGCUGUACCAGGCUCCUUGGUGAUGGGUUGGGGUUGGUGGUUUGGUGGAGGGAUUGGAUACAGCGUUUUAGUCUUCCUGUUCAUGUGGACUGUGUUCUUCAGUCUCCAUUGUCACAUAGUCUUCCCUGGGCUUGAGUCUUGCUCUUGCUACCCAAGAGGGUUUUACUCUAUUGGUUCUUCUCCUAGACCAUUAUGCACCUAAUAGUUUUCUUUAAAUUGUUGCGUGGUUUUUGACUUGUUAGUUUAUACAACAGUCUGGGACACCAGACCAAAUCCCUGGCAGUGCUUAGAAGGUCCAUCCCAAUGUGCCUGGCCUGCAUUCAAGCCCUGCCUCACCACUCUCCACGUCUCACGAGAACUGCAAUGUGGUCCAUUGUGAGCACGGCCUACCGCGUGUCCUGGCUUGUAUGUGCCUCAUCGUAAUAAUUCUUCCCAAGGAGACUGACCAGAGUGAGGAAGCUGCCCCUCAGAGGGGUGAGAUAACCAGUCAAAUUGCAUCUGUUUGCUUCCUUUAGGGACAACUCCUUCAUCUGAGAUGGCCUUCCCUUCUCCAGGUCACAGUCCUUCAGAUAAGAGUCCAGGAGCCCCCAGGAUGCAAUCCUUUGCUCCUUUUCUAAAACACUCAACAAACAGCUUGCACCUGGAGGACCCUACCGAUGCCCGUUACCUGGGUCGCGGAGUCCCAGGCCCAAAGUACUAUUGUGUUGGACAGAGGAGAAAAACAUUUUAUAAAAUGGAUUUUUGCACGAAGAGACGAAGAGUAGGGAUACGUCGGUGUACCUCCAAAUCAGCAACAGAUAAAGGGGCCUGCUUCUUUGCUUUUUGAACCUGGUGCAAACUCUGCUUUAUCAGACAACACGUUUGCUUUGCUCCUUUUAUUUCCCCCUGGAGGCCGUCUCCCCAGGCCACAGAAUGGAGAGCGGGCAAGCCGUAAGCCAUCGGUAAGCCAGCCCGCCAUUCACUACCUUUUCUUAUACAACAGUUAUUUGUAAACUAAUCAAUAAACUCUUCUUGUUUUGUUUGCUCCUUUAGAACUCUUAGCAGCUGCCUGCUGAACCAUGAAGAAACUUAAAAUAGCGACGAUCCCCUUCCACGCUGCCGCCUCUUUCCCCGUAGAACCCGCGAGCCCAUCUGUGGUGUUUAUACUCAAGGCCCUGUGAAGCUAAUCUGUAUGGAAAUAAAGGAUAGAAAUAUUCAGAUUGAGUUUUACUAAGUGAACCUGAGGUUUUUCUCUUCAGCAAAAUAGGCCAGGUAAAUGUGUUUCUGAUACAGAAUAAAUCACUGGUUGGAAGACCUACAUUUCCCUUUCACCAUUUUCUUGGAAGGAAAGAAUUCACAGCCUUCUGCAUGGACAGUGGGAAGCACCAGUCCCUCCCCCAGGGAGUUCCUGUUAGCAUCUGAGAAAUCUAUUGCCCUGACGGGGGCUGGAGGUGCUGUGGUCUUCGCAGAGGGCCAGG
rnacentral:lncRNA from 1 species